rnacentral:lncRNA from 1 species
GUACCAGAUAAGCACAUUAAACUAUAAUCCAUAAACGUAAGGUAACAACCGAGACCUAAUGAUGCUGUGACAGCAACGCAAUUGAGUUUGAGACAGUGAAAAUACAUAUGGUAUGUUGUAUCUGAACAGGUUAGCUUACGAGCUAAAGUUACUUAGCACAGAUGAAAGUAAAAACAAAGACGUUUAGCAAACUGUUAAAGCACACAAACCAUCGUCAUAUGAGAAAUCCGACGCUAUGACUCUCCACAAGUUGUCAUUAUCCUUGUAAUAUUUGUGUCUUUAAUCAAAAAGCACUCUGUUCUGCGACACGUAAACAAUCAGCCAGUCGGCCAUGUUGGAUAUACUGGUGAAUCUGACGUCGCAUCAACAUGCAAUCUGAUUGGUCAGAAGUGGACACACAGCAUGCAAAACUUAAGAAAAAUCAACCGUGAAAUGAAAAAUAAAAUGUUGCAAUAUCCCAGGACGGGAAAACGUUGCCGAUGUGAACACUUGACACAUUGACAGGAUACGGGUUCGAAAAAAAUAUUGACGUCCGAAAUAAUGGCACCAAAAAAACGCUUCCGGUGUGUAAGGACCUUUAUUCUUGACUCCUUGGUUUCCAAGUUUCAAGCAAAAUGUACUUCCAUUUGUUUUCUCUGUUCAUGACCUUCUAACUCCAGCCUCAGUCAUGAAGCUCACUGAAUCGACUGUUCCUGAUGAUCCUACCAAGGCUGUUACUUGUGCACCUUUUCCUCCCACACGUUUCCCUUCCAGUCAAUUUAACAUGAAAAUGCUUCAACGCAGCACUCAGCAAUGACCUUCUUUGGCUUACUCUCCUUGUGGAGGGUUUCCAUGACUAUUUCUGGACGACUAUUGAGUCAGCAGUCUUCCACCUUGGCUGGUGGAAAACGCUGGACUUUUUCAAGAUUUUCCAAUUUGUUGGAUUGAACCUGUAGUUACUUAAUCUGCUAGUUUUACCCAUAGGCUGCAUAUAGAAUGGACAGAGUCUGCCUCUUCGAUGGGUGAAGCCACUCCGAGAACAGCAACCUCUGGUGACGGGCUGCAGUAUAGGUUAUAAAUCCGAUGUUGCGAUGUUGACAUGUAGUUCUUGUAAGAUUGGUUUUUGUGCUCAGGUCCUCUUUUUUUCUGUACAGCUCCGUUUUCAAAAGUUAUUAGGGGGUUCAAGUUUUCUGUGAUUGACACCAGAUACAGCCAAGGGGCGUACAAGGAUUGCGUAGCUCACCCGGGGGCUACACUGUUUGAGGCGAGCGUCAUCACAGCGAGUGGAGAAAAAUGCGGAAUUCCCAAGAGCUUUUCGCCUUUAAAUCUGGCAAAACGUGGAACCAAGUUGUCCAUAGUAUAUAAAGUCUAUGGUUUUACCCAGAGUUUACACUUGACCCUGCAAAACUACUUCAUCAGGAGGUCUCUCUGGGGUUUAAAUGUCAUGAUGCUAAUGCCAGUACAACCAUCACCAGGAAUACUCACUUUAUUUCCCAAUCAUGCAAACGCUAAUGUCUUGAAUUCUUGUGCAAAAUCUGGCUUGUCCACUUGGAUUCUUAUGAAGUUUCCUCGACUUUUGGCUGUUAAAGGUUUUAUUUCACAGUGGUACCUGAAGCUGCCCAUUUGAGGUCCAUUCUUUCAUUUCCUACAUGCUAGAGAUGGAGGGUGAGUCCUCGACGUCAUCUGAAAACACAGCAGUCUUUUUCAAUUUCUGCAGAAAGAUACGCAUCUCUUCUUUUGCUCCUUUUUUUUCUAACAAUGCCGGCAGCUGCCCCGGAGGUCCAUUCCCUUUGCUUUCUUUUCCUUUUAAGCGCACGCAUGGAGGGUCGUCGAGAAAAAGACCCCUCUGCUGGCGUGCCGCUUUCAUCCGAAUCAAAAAAUUAUCGGCCUGAACUGCGUUGAACUUUCAUCGGAGGCUGAGCGCUAAUGACUCAGGAUCCCUGGCUUUGGAAAAAAGGGAAAAGGUGGGGGUUGAGAAAAGCUCCGGCGGUAGUGAAAUAACACUCUAAAAGAGCUCAUUACUACCAGGCAACCCUCUCUUCUUCUACUGUACAUGCAGCUAUCAUUACGGCUGCAUUUUUGGAUAUAAUGACCUUGUGCUGCUACAUGGCUGCCACGGGUUAUAUCCCUAAUGGUCCUCAAGCCACUGUCGCUAAAAAGUAACACAAGUUAAGGACACACGUGCAAGCGCGCUCACACACACAAAGUCAAUGACAGUAUUUCCCGGGCCAUCCCAGAAGGAUCCAAAAGCCCUUGGCCGCGUGGAGUGUCUCGCCACCUCGGUCUGAGUGGUCAGAAAUGUGUAUGUAAAUGUGUAUGUGUGUAUCAUCCUAUCAGACGUGUUCACAUAGCGAGCCAUAUCGAUGUGACACGGCGGAAAGCGAGGCUGAUUGCGGGUGUUUUUUCCCCCCCCACUACUAACAGGGUGUUUGACGGCGGCGAGCGUGCUUUAUGGAAGGUCAUUUACAUCAAGUUGGGCUUGAUGUAAAUUGGACGCGUUUCAAUUGGCUAUUAGAUAACUCGGUUACAUCACGGCUUCUGUGGGAUCUAUUUCCUGCUCCAGUGAUCAAGAGCGAGGAAGGGGGAGAGGGAAAAAGAAAGGAGAGGAAGACGUUAAAAGAGAAAAGAAACUUCCACUUUCGGAGCUGAAAGGGUUAAUUUUCUGUCUUUAUAUGUUAAAAUUAGGAUGAUAUGCAGUGAGGACCAGAAAAUAGCAACCAACAGAGAAAAAGGAGUUCAAAAGCCUUCUGUAUUCCCUUUGAUGUGGCCGCUUGAUCAUGCAAGGGAGCAGCAACCAACUGUAAUGUAAAAAUACAUUUCGGGUGACACAUCCCGCUAUUUUUCCUCGCUAAAUGUGCCUCAGAUCAAAGGAAGUACAUAAUUUUGUUUUUCCACUCAAACUUUAAGCGCUCCCAGGUCCACUGUGAAUAAUCCAUUUUAAGACUUAUUCACACUGUGUACCUUUCGGGGGCUGAGCAGCGGGGUUACGGGAGGUGGGAGGGAGCGUUUGUCUUCCUCCACUGUUUCUUCCAGUUUAGUCACGACUCCUCGGGAAGGCCGAUGGAUCGGCGGAGCGACCACCCGCCUGACCGGCGGUGCGCGCCGCGUCGUUUCCUAUAACGCUGACGCGGGGAACAAAAGGAAGAAUACAUUGAAUAUUUCAGGAGCGUGUCUUCCCUCGUAAUCUCUCUGUAGCUCAGGUGGAAGCGGAGUGUUAAUAGUGUUGAUGCACGUGUCCAUGCAUCAGCUCAGAGUAUCCGACAAGCCCCGGGAAUCUGAAUAAUUUAUGUCGAACAUGAAAGUAAAUAGAAUCGCUUGUAUGUGUUGUUGCGGGAAAUUGUUUCAUUCCCCUGUUGUGUUUUUGAGCGGAGGGAUGAUGUCUUGUCAGUGCCAAUCAUUUUCAGGUUCACCCCCGCUCAAAUUUUCGAGCUGAUUCAAAUAUCUGUGCUCAAUAACUCAAUUUUCUUCUCCUACGACUAUCCCAGCAAGGAUUCGAACAAGAACAAGAUACAGUGUGUUUUUCCAACCUUACAAUAAACCCGAUAUCAUCUCUCCCAGUUGAAUAUGUAUGUGCAAAGAUAAGGUAGAAAGUAAUUAAUUUUUAAAUCCCCUUUCUUGCUUCUCUGUGUGCGUUCGUGCUUCUUUUCUUUGACUUUCCGGGGCAGGCCAUUACUUUCCUCGGGGACACGCCGCCCUGUUACACCGGCGUCACAAGAGCUUUUCUCUGCAGGCAUCUAAAAACGACAUUGUUUCCCAGUGUGCGCACUCAUGUUUUUAAAUAAGAGCACGGAUGCGAGAAGGAAACAGAGAAAUGAGACGGCUAAGGUGUUGUAAAAAACCUCUGUGAAUUGGCUGGAAAUAGAAGAAAUGCAUAUCUCAAAGCUGGGAGUCUCAUUAAGCAUCUGAAACAAUAAAUUAACUGAAAAUAAACCUCAUUAACAAUUAGGAAACCUGCUCACUGUGAAGUUUACAUCAAUUCUGUUUGACUGUGUGGAGAAGAAAUUAGGCGAAGAUCAGAAGGGAAGGAAGACGCCCUGCUUACAUAAGACAGCCAGUACUAUUCAUUAAAAAGUGGCGAAUCACAAAGUGGCUGAUUGAAUUAAAUAAUAAGCUGCAUACAGAAGUGCAACUGCUACCAAACAGAUCUACGCAUCAGCAAUAGAAAUGCAAAUUUAGCAUUAAUUUAAAGGCAGCUAAAAAAAAACUGUUAUUUUCAAUCGACUGGUUAAAACUGAACUUUUGAAAUGCGUGUUAGCAUAUUCGUCCGUCACAUUAGUCUCUUGAUUUUCUGUGUCAUAGAGAGCAGCAACCCCUGGUGACUGGUUGCAGUAUAGGUCACAAACCCUGCUUUAAAGGGAUAUUCCAGCAUAAAAUUAAAUUAGGGUCAAACACACUAUAACACCGAGUUAGACACCCCGUCGAGAGAUGAAUGUUGUUGACCGCUUGCUUCUCUAGUCCAGUGGUUCUUAACCCUGUUUGAGGUACCGAACCCACCAGUUUCAUAUGCACAUUCACCGAACCCUUCUUUAGUGAUAAAUCAAAUGUGAUUUUUUUCCAAAUUCAAGACAUAGGUAUAUGAUUUUUUACUGGUACACAAAAUGAACCGUGCAUGAACAUCAUCUUGAUCAAAGAACAAAACCAACACAGUGCAUGAACUCACAACAAAUUACAUACCUGCAAAUCAGUGUGACUUCUGCUGUUGCUUUUGAGAGACCAGUUCAGAUAUGCGUGGCUUCACCUUGGCAAGUGCUACUCUCAUGUCAUUUUCACAGCAAAGUCUGUUCCUUUUCUUUGUUUUUAUGUCCAGCAUCCUCGAAAAAGAUUGUUUGCAGAGAUAUGUUGUAACAAAUGGUAUAAAAAAUUCCAGGGCUUUCUUAGCAAUAAUUUGGUACUUUUCCAACUGAAAAAUCGUUUAUAUCAGCAGAAGACGUCGGAUUUAAACAAUUUCUGCCGACUUUGUAGAGUCAACUGCAGAAUUAACGGCGUUCUGAAUGAACGGGGCUUUGAAAAGUCCCGCAGCAUGUGUUAGACGUCACCACUACGCAUGGACCAAUCAGGGGCUGCCUUUCCCUGUUGUCCGGGUAACAGUGGAAACACGGUCUCUGAUUGGCCCGGUUAUUUUCUGAUCGGGAAUACACGCUCUCUAUGGGCCGAAGUCCAGACUGUGGUGGGAAGGAACAUCAAGUGAUUCACGCAACAGGAUGGCCCAGCCAGGCUACCGUGGCGGAGGCUCCACCGAACCCCUGAGACCGACUCACCGAACCCCUAGGGUUCGAUAGAACCCCGGUUAAGAACCACUGCUCUAGUCAUACCAACUUUAGUAAAGAAAGCAAUACAGAGAGCCACGCACUCAACCAAAACGCCACUCUAUAGCCACAAAUAAUGCUCAGAACAGCACCUAACUUCAUCAACAGUACAUAUAGGGUCCCAGCCACAGCACUAGCCACCAAACAUCUCUUUAACUUUGCCUAAUUUCUUUAGCAAAGAUAUUAAACACAACUCACCUACUCUCUUCCAGCAGCAUCUUGUUUGUACAGGGGGAUGCAGCUCAAGGAAGAACAUGUAUGAUCAUUUCCUCAUGGAAAAAGCAAUCAGACUGAGACGCUAAGGCAGAAGAUCUACUGUGUCUGCAGUGCAAAAUGAUUAACAUGAUGACUAUUACUUUAAGAAAAUGAAAGAGUAAUUAUCAUAAAUGUUCUUCCUUGAGCUGCGUCACCCCCGCUGCAGUCGAUGGACUUGCCUUGAGGUGUUCAUAUAAUCAAUCGGCUGUUAGAAGAGAGAGGGUGAGUUGUGUUUAGUCUCUUUGCUAAAGAAAUUAGGGAAAGUUAAAAAGAUGUUGUUGGCUAGUGCUGCGGGUGGGACCCUAUAUGUACCGUUGAUGAAGUUAGGUGCUGUUCUUAGCAUUAUUUGUGGCUAUAGAGUGGCGUUUUGGUUGAGCGCAUGGCUCUCUGUAUUGCUUCCUUUACUAAAGUUGGUAUGACUCGAGGGUGUCUAACUCGGUAUUACGGUGUGUUUGACCCUAACUUAAUAUUAUGCCGGAAUAUUCCUUUAAAUAAAAUUCAUAUACAUUUUUCCUUCCCCCUGGUUGUGAUGUUGACUUCUAGCUAUUGUUGGACUGGUUUGUACUCAAAUCCUCUUUUUUAUCAUUUUUUUAAAAGUAAUUGGGGUUUAUAAAAACAGGAAAUUACAUCAUAUUUUCUAUGACUGAGACCUGCAUAGAGUCAAUGGUAAUAUGAAGCUUGCAUAGGACAUUCAGAGGGUACGCUCAACAGCGACUCUGAUGAUGGGAGGCGGAGUCACGUUGUCCAUUCUAUACGCAGUCUAUGGUUCUGCAUAUGCUCCGGUAUUCACAUGCUGGGCUGAAUAGCAUGGACGCAUUGCUAAGAUGUUAAAUACAGUUCCUAUGCGUCCUUUCCCAGAGAACUAUUUUUUGCCAUUUGUAAAAAGUCUGAGAAACUUCAUCCAAAGAGUCUAUGAGAUGCAGUUACAGAGGGAGACGGAUUAGUAUGGAACCACUGAAAAGAAGCCACUUUACUCAUCUGAUGGGUUAUUUAGCUCCGAAUCCUGACAGUCUGGAAGCUGUCUGUGAUGUCCAGUCCGUCAAAGAGAGGUGGUUUGAAAAUGGCACUCAACGGAAAAAGUAAGCGACAAAAGGAAAAUGUCAGGAGAUUGGCAGUCUCAGCUAAAAAGGAUUGCCAUCAAGUCAGAAAUCUUUCUUUUUUUUUUUUUUUUUUUUACUGCGGCGCAUCAGCAGACACAAAUGUGAUACUAGGAAAGUCAAUCUAAAUUCUGCUAUCACAGGCAGCAGUCCUUUCACCUGCUCUAUUUACAUUUCCUUGCAUCACUUUCUCGCAUUUUAAGUCGGAGGAACAGACACAAGAAAACGGAAAAGUGAGGGGAAACAUAACGGACCAGUGUGUCACGGCUAACCGUGGUUUCAAGGUCCAAGGAGAGUAAAGACACCGGGCCUCAUUAGUCUGUAUGCAGAGAGAAAGUACUAUUCUCACGUGGCAUUUAUAUUUUAAAAAGUAACAACCUUUUCACAACCUUUUCAACCGAGCUGCUCUUUAGUUUUGUUAAAAAGUCCAAGAGAGACUGAAUUACUAUGAAACUGCUCUUAAAUCCAACGUCUAUCACCGGAUUAUAGACAAAUUAUAGAGAUAACAUCUUGAGAACAGGCCUAUCUGCACAUAUCAUUGCCUCAAAACUAGGGCCCAACCGAUUUAUCGGCAAUCGGAUUCAAUAGGCCAAUUGUAGCCCAUUUGAGACUAAUCGGUAAUCUGCCAAAACUUGAAACGUCCCACCAUUUGAAAAGUUCCCCGACUUAUCCUGUAGAUGGCGCAGCGACCUCAUGACAAUCUUCAUCCACUAACUACCUCACAGCACAGCAGAGUGACGGAUCUGCAGCAGGCCUCUCCGGGACGCACGGAGGAGAGUGGUCCGCCUCAACGGUAAAUAAACCAGUUUGUGAAAUACACAAUAAGUCAACAAGUUUCAGUUUAACCCACUUCACGAUGUUCCCCGCUGUGCUGGUCUCGGUCACGCCGAGUUAACGGUGAAGCACCACGUAAUAGCCAAGCUAAAGUUAGAGUUAGCCAUUUGCUAUUAGCCUAGCUACACUGUUAGCCGUGCCAGUAACGGUAGAAUAAGUCAAGUAUAUAUAUAUAUUUUUUAUAACUUCAUAAAAAAUUCGUCUGAUUAAUCGGUAAUCUGAUUUUUUUCCCUCCCUAACAAUCGGUAUCGGCAUCUGCCCCCAAAAAUCCGUAUCAGUUAGGCCCUACUCAAAACCCAUAAAGCACUUCUUAAAAAACGUAAAUCCUCUCUCUUUUGGUCUUGGAUGUCAUGAAAAGGCAUCAUUAUGAGUUUCAGUCGAUUUCGUCAACGUCAAAAACUCCCUAUUUGAGCUGUAAACAUUUUUUUAUCUCUACUUUAAGACUUAAAAGCUUCUGAGCACAAGAAAUGUUUAUAACCUAAAUAUUGUUGAUGGAUGUUGAGAGAGAAAAAUCCUCUCAAAGCAGCCUAGAGGUCACACCAAAAUAAAGCAAAAAAACACCGGCCACUUAGCAGAGACAGAAAGCCAGGAAAUACGAGAUAACUUAAUAACCUGUCCCUGUUGUGGUUUGCUUUGCUGUCAAGCAUAUGGCACUCUAAAGGCAAUCUGGUAUUCCUGACUGCCUGGGAGGCUAAAUUCAUAUCUAACUGCCUGACAGACUGCCCCUGUAUGGCUCUACUUCCUGUCAGACAUCUGGUAUUGUCUGGCAGCUACCUCUUCUAGCUUGGCUUCCUGGGAAGCUUUACAUGGCAUUCUGCUGCCUAACAGACUGCUUUUUUGUUUAGCAGCCUCUAGCUAGUAUCACUUUGUACCUACUUCCUUAAAGGCAUUGGUUUUAAAAUGCAGCCCGGAAGGCCGGUUCUAAUUUCUCUGAAGUCCCUGCCAAAAUGCCUUGGCAGAAUCUCCCUAAAGUGCGUGUUUUCUCAGCAUGGAAAUAACCCGCGUCACAACGGCUGUUCCUAAGACGAACUCCCUCUAAGUGUUCAAGAAGAGCUAUUUUAGUUCAAUUGAACAAAGAUAGAGUAAUAUGAGUAACAGCCUGUUUGCUGGGAUCCAGUGGUAUUUUUAAAUAUGAAGAGGUCUAAGGUUUUUCUGAAGGCAGAUGUAGGCGGGUUAGAUAAUAAAAUGCAAACUAGUCCGUAAACUAAACAGAUGAAUCACCCACAUCUUCCUUGAUGGGAGAAAUGAUCAAGAAUAUGAGAGCAAUCUCAGACAAUUUGACCUUUGAAAGCAGUAAUUACCCUACACUUGAGUGGAAUUUAGACACCCUACUAAUUCAGCCUGUCAUAACCUUAUGUUAGGAGAAGUUGGGACAAAGUAAGACAACAGAUCAAAUGCUGAAACUUUUUGCAUAAAAGUAUGGGCUCAUUUCAUAUUUAAUGCCAGCUUUGGUUAACCCUCGGCUUCGCCAACUCUGUCUAUUCGGCAUCAUAUGUUGCUCUAACACUUGUAUAUUUAUUCUCCAGCAAUGAAGAGCUGCAAUGUCCAUGAUUUCCAAAAAGAAUGUCAAUAAAUGUGUAUUUUUUAAGUUGUUUUAAGCACAUGCAGGGAUUUCCACUACAGAGCCAUGUCUAAUUUUAAUGUAGCAUCACUGCUGGGCUUUGUCACUUUUGUUUUCCUUAAGAAUUCCUGAAUAUUUUAUAUGAUAUUAACUACCACAGAUAAUAACAAAAAUAAUACAAAAUAAAAUUAAUAAUAAUAAUAAUAAUAAUAAUAAUAAACUAAAAACAACGAUAAUAAUAAUAGUGAUAAAAAUAACAUCAACAACAACACUAAAAACAACAAUAAUAACAACAAAAAUGAUAAUAACUAAUAAUAAUAAUAAUAAUAACAACAACAGCACUAAAAACAAAAAUAAUAACAAAAAUGAUAAUACAAGAAAACAACAACUUUCAAUUCCUUUUAACUGUUUGCUCACGCAGUCUCUCACUGAGUGGUAAACCUGUCUCUAGAUGUUAGAAUGCCUGUUUUACACUCAGUCUAGUCACUAUACUGCAAAUUAACCUUAUUAAAUGGGAUAUGUUGCUGUCCCUGUCCGAAUAGAGCAGAAUGUGGCAUCCAUGAUUUCCAAAAAGACUGUCAAGGUUUUUUUUCAAGGCCGUUUUGAGCCCAUGCAGCAACUUCCACUACAGAGUCAUGUCUAUUUUUAAUACAGUGUUGCCUGAGGGACACAAAAUCACUGCCAUUCAGGGUUAGUUUUCAUAAUAUUCUCUUAACCUUUUGCUGGUAAUAAAAACAAGCUGAGGAUUGGAUAAUGCAGCGUCCAUGAUUUCCAAAGAGGAUGUCAUAGGCUGUGUCCGAAAUGGAUCCCUAACCCCUAUAUAGGCGAUGAUAUGGGGGUUAGCGCCAUUUUGAGGAGCGUCUGAAACCUGAGUGAUCAAUUCUAACUAGACACGGCAGUCUGAGCAGUGACGUCACAACGGUGCGCCAUGUAGUGUCCAAAACCUCCGGUGAUUGAGCUCACUACAUAGUCAGCUAUAUAGUGAAACCCCAUAUGGGGGUUAGGGAUUGAGUGAUGGACACAGCCAUACUCUGAUUUGUCUGACUGACUCCAGGACAGGUUUCACUUUUGCCUGAUUUCUAAAAAGGCUCCGGCCCAGAGAAAUCCACGGAUUUGUAGAUCAUUAUUUUCUGUUUUUGUCAAUAUUUUUUUUCAGCAUCCCAGCUUUUUUAGGCUUAGUAUUGUGUACAGUGCUUAUGGUUGAACCAAACAAAGUCUGGAGACUAGCAUGUGUCAGCUGGAUGACCUUAGCACAGCUUUUGUGGCAUUUUCAAAGGCGGCGGCUGAAUAAGUUGCGACCUUGCUGCAAUGACAGUUCGUAAAGCAUAAUACCAGCAUUUCAGAUGGUUUCAAAGGUGUUCUGCCAAUUGGAUUCAAACGUCACCUCCCAAAAGGAACACAGGAACUGGCAGACUUGAAAGGCGAUGGAUUUGAAUUGAAAGAGAUGCAGACUGGCUCCUCGAGUUGGACUUCGGGCGUCGGUGCAAAUGUUCAAGAGAUUCAGUCGGACAAAAAAAAAAAACAUGGCGAGUGCAUCAAACAGUUUCAGCAUCAUGAGCAGAAUCCAAGUCCACCUGAGUUGGUAGAGAAAGGUGUCUCCAGGAGGGAAAAUAGUGGAACUUUUUCAGUUACAAAGCAGGAAAAAUGGAUAUUUGACGGAUAUUUGGCAGGAAAGUUAAAAUUCACAAUGUCGGGUGGAGUUCAAGCUUCUUUUUCACUUCAGUGUGAAGUAAUAGUAUAAUAUAGUUUCUACUGAUGAGAGAAUAUUAAAGAAAAUUUAUAUCAAAGUCGAACCAAAAAGUCCAGCCCUGUCAAAUUAAAGGUCAAAUUUAAGGGGGGAUUUCUGUCCAACUCUCUAAAGACUCCUAUUCAUUUGGUGGACUCCAUCAAAGAGGAAAACCUGAAGUAAUUUAAAUUAACCCAGGUUACAUGCUUCAAGCGACGCACCCAAUGGGAUUAUGGCGAAGCUUCUCUGAUGGAUUUACUUGAGUGUGUCUGUGUGUGAGGGAAUAUUGAGCUUUCAGCAGCCAGAUGUCUGCGCAGCAAUCCCUCAGCACAAUUACCUUCAGACAUCUGGGACCUAUAAACAAAGCGAACAGACUCCGGCUUUGUCUCUUCGUCUUUUUUCUUUCUUCUCCUUUAUCAUUAUCUUUAUGUUUUCAUCCCACAAUGCUUAUUCUUCCUUUUGUAUUUCUUUUUCCCCAUCUCCUCCCCUGCAUGGAAACACUCAUUUAUCUAUCCCUCCCUGCUUUGCUCCCAUGCCCAAACACAUGCAUUUAACUGUCUUCCCCCCUCUGCUCUACCUCCUCUGCAUCUGCCUCUACAUCUGCACAUACAUACUCAAUCCGACUCUCUUUUUCUCUCCCAGCUGGUGGCCACCUUGCUUCCUCUCUCACCCUCCUCUCCGUCUUCUCCUUGUGUUUCUCUCACUUGUCACUCCUAUCCACUCUUGUCAAAACAUCACCUCCUCCCUAGGCACUGACAACUGCAGAGCCUAUUUGCUAUUCAAAUAGUUUUUUUUUUCUUUUUCUUUUUUCACACAUCGUCACCUGGUGCGUGCAUGUAUUUGCGUGUUCGUCGAAUACAUCAUCAUGCAAAUGUUGUUUACCUGGUAAAGAGUGUCGGGUGAGUUAUUUUAAAAAAUAAGCCAUUGGAAAAAAAAGAAAAAAAACCUCCAUUGCUUUACAUAUUACUCUACAAUACGACUCCGAUUAUUCAAAUGUGGUUUCUAAAGAACUGCUACACCUACACAUUUGUUUGUAUUUCAAAGGUGUACCAACACAAACGGGAAGCCUACUGUAUAUUUACUGACUCCUUUCAGCUCCUUAAACUCGUCCUUACUUUGAACUUCACACACCCUUAAAGCUUGAAAAACACAACCUGUCAUGCGAGUAGGUUUAAGGUCAGAGCAGGAUUUUCCCAAUGACAGAAGUUGUCACAUAUAAGUUCAACCCUAGUAUCCUUUACAUACCUGUACUUUUCAAGUUGUGAUGACACAAAUGUAUCUGGUACAACCCCAAAACCAAUAAAAGUAGUUCACUAUGUAAAAUGUUGCAGAUUUCAAGAGUUUGUGAAUUAUUUAAUCUCUUAAUUUGAUUGGAAAUUUGACAAAAAAAUGGCAAAAAACUUGAACUCUUAUUUUUGGUGCAAAUUUUAGAUUUGCUGCCAACAUGUUUAAACAUCGUUGGAACAGAAGUGUGUUUACAAUAGUACAAGUUAUGGAUUUUAGUGUAAAAUGUUGCCUCUUUCUUGUCCGAUAUUAGAUUCCAGUUGUUUAACAGUUUAGGAUCUAAUUUGUCAGAUUUCAAUGAGCUGUUAAGCACCAACUGUGAAUCGUACGUCAGCCUGGAAUUUCAGUAAGUUGGUCACAGACAUUUCGUCGCUGUCCGAUGAAAAGACAUACCUCCACUUUUAGUGAUCUGGACUUUUUUCAAUACAUGCAUGGUUCAUAAUCUUCCCUAACAACCCGUAGUUUUGGGGAUCCAAAUGACCGAUGGAAAGACAUUUUAUGACAUCAUUUUUCGACAAGUAUCUCCAGUGGGUGUCAGAAGUGUCGACAAAGCAUGUAUCUCCCUGCGUUGUCAUGCCAGCAAACAGACUUUACACAGUGGCAGACUCAUUACAAUCCAGGGUAAUGCUACACUAAUGUCCUCACAUCGACUGAUGCCGACCUAAAACUAUUUUCUAAUCAUGACAGUGUUGCUUACCUGUACGCUAGAUUUCGUGAGCCGAAGUUCACUCGCAGAGGCAAAACUGCUACUGUUUUCUCUCUCACACUCGCUCACGGACUCAAGUGCAUGUUUAACUGGGAGUCACGACUCAUAAAGGUGAAAAUGUAGGCUAGCCCACUCUCAAUAGUUUAAUAGUCAAUAGUCUAUCAACAUAGUGGGACAUUGCCAUUACAAUGUGAGUUGUGAGUCUUCUCUUUAGAGAGAAGAAUAGGGCGUCCAUGAUUUCUCAUAAGAAUUGCAAAUGUGAUUUAUCUGCCUAUAGGACAGUUUUCUAUUUAGCCUCAAUUUAAAAUGGACUCCGGCCCAGAGACGUCAUAGUUAGGGAUUUCUCCUUGCAUGGUACAGUUUUAAUUUGCUUAAGCAGAUGUAGCAACAAACAGCAUUUUCUCUACUUAAUGUCAGUCACGAUUUGUUAGACACUAUUUUCUGUGCUGAAGCACCAUAAGACUUCUAACAGAACAAAUGCAAACAUAAGAAAUCAUGUCGAGUCAGGAGACUGCUUCCUUUUUUUCUUGUUUCGGAGCAAUAACCUUGUAGCUUAAGUGUUUAUUUGACAUAAGUAAUCAUACAGCUGGGGUGUUAUUAUUGUUGAAAGCUCGCAGUAAUUGCCUUGGCUCCAAUUUAAACAUUUAUUAGGGGAAUCAAAACAAGGGCAAAGGAACAUUUGGUCCAAGAUAGGAGGCAAAUCAGACCGAUUGUUUUAAAAACAAUAUACCAUUCUAGCCUCAGGAAAUUGGUUCACUUGCAAAACCUGCUGAAAACGCGUGUCAUAAUUUGAUAUCUGUGAGUAUUAUCUGGUAGUCGUGCAGUGAACGACAUAAUCAGAUGGGGCAGAGUCCGAAUGUGAUGUUUGAAAGGCCUUAAGUGUAGGAGAGGGGCUCCAGGCAAGCGUGUCCUGUUUGUUCCCUAGCCGAGGCUGGGAUAAAUAAUUUCUCUCAGGCAGGAGGCUCCAGCGCCUUGUGAUGAUUACUGGAGCCAAAUGAGUAAACGAGGCUCGGGAACGUUUACCACGGCCCAGAUAGCUCAGGUAAGCUGUCACAGCUAUCUAAAUAGGGCCGAGUGGGGGAAAGUUGGUGUGAGGUACGUGUUUUAGUCCUGAGGAUAAACAGAGGUGCAGAGGAGGCUGAUUUAAGGGAAUAAAGGUGGGUGGCAAUGUGUGGUUAAACAAGCUCUCCCUAAGAGUUAUACAAUUUACAAAUAUUGCAUUUUUAUCGUCAAGGAAUCAAGUGAUUUAUCAGUUUAAGGUAAUAAUAUUGUGGUAAGAUUCACCGCAUUUCGAAAAAGAGACCAGUUCUGUUUGCCUAUUAUCUUCAGGAACAGGCACUUACUGAAAGCAUUUGGUGCCAUGAUAUGUUCUGUUUAUUUAGUUUUCUUCACCUGAUUUUAUUUGAGUGUAUUUUUUGUAUUGUCUCUCGUGUUCCUGUUCCCCUGUAGUCCAGUCUUGUGAGUUUUCAGUUUGUGUUUGACCCUGUUUCCAUCCUGUUCUCUGUGUUAUUGUAUAGGUUAGUUUUUAGUGUUUCCCAUUUUAUUUCAUAGUAGUCGAUUCCUUGUGUUUCUAGUCUAGUUUUACUUCCCUAGUUUUCCCUCCUUCGUUAAUCACUAACGAGUUUCACCUGUGUCUCGUUUGCCUCACCUGUUGCUCGUUACCCAGUGUGUAUAUAGUCCCUGUCUUCCCCUCUGUCCUUGUUGGUAUGCCUGUGUCCCCAGUUACUCCCUGUGAUUUUGCCCUGGUAAUUUUUUGUGGAUGUUUCUCUUUUUGUUUGUUUUUUAAAUUUGUUCUUUUGACAUAACUACUUUUUUUUGUUGUUCUGCAUCUUGGGUCCUUUCCCUUUAUUGUUGAACUCUAGACCAUGACAUUUGGUGCAUCAUGGAACAUCGCAGCUGCAGAAUACAACUGUACAAUGCAAAAAGUUAAAAACAUACAAAAAUGAUCCAAAUAUGACACUCCUUUUGAAAAUUGUGGAUGCAACUCUAAAUCGGCGAGGAACCUGCUAACCCAGCAUUCAUGAUGGUAUGGCGAAGUCAGCGAAGGUACCAUUUAUAGUGUCCGAAAUGCUUUGGUGCAAAAUAUUAAAGUAUAACUAUCAAAAACACUUAAAACUUUGAGACUAAAGGUUUUUUUGUGCUGUUAUUUCGGACAUCAAUAUCAUUUUCAAACCCGUAUUCUGUCAUUACAAGCGUUCACAUCAGCAGCGUUUUACCAUCCUGCGAUAUUGCGGCACUUAUUUUUCGUAUCACAGUCAAAUUUUCAAAAGUUACACAUACUGUAUGUCCACUUUUGACCAAUCAGAUUUCGUGUUGUUGCAACUUCAGAUUCACCAGUAUAUCUAACAUGGCCGACCGGCUGAUUGUUUACGUGUCGGAGAACAGAGUGCUCUUUGAUAAAAGACACAAACAUUACAAAGAAACUUGUGGAGAGUCAUAGCGUUGGUUUUCUCAUAUGACGAUGGUUUGUGUGCUUUAACAGUUUGCUAAACAUCUUUGUUUUAACUUUCAUCUGUGCUAAGUAACUUUAGCUCGUAAGCUAACCUGUUCAGAUACAACAUACCAUAUGUAUUUUCACUGUCUCAAACUCAAUGGCGUUGCUGUCACAGCACCAUUAGGUCUCGGUUGUUACCUUAUGUUUAUGGAUUAUAGUUUAAUGUGCUUAUCUGGAACUGGCCCCCACUCAGUACAUGCUAUCAUGACAGACAGUCAUCUCAACAUUAGUGUCUAAUCAGAACUGAAAAACAGUCAGUCUGCUGUUGUGUCAGUCUUUCCGCUUCCACUCGGGACGCGUCUUUUUUCCCCCUGGAAAGUCGCAAAAUCACAUCGCGCUUUAUGUGUGUAGUAAGGCGCAUCAAAAUCCGCCUCUAAAUAUUUCAUAAAUUCACAUCGUAUAUUUGCGUCAUUCCCGGUGUGUAAGGAACUUAAGGAGGAAAUGUUUUUGAGAGAUAAAAAUUUUCACAAAUUUCCAUGUUUGUCGUGAUGAGACAAAUGAGUAUUCUUUAGGCAUCCUCUGAUACCUUGAUUUAUCCAAGAUGCAAAUUAUAGCAAGUCCAACACUAAAAGCACCUGUGGAAGCUCCACCCCUGAAAUCCCUGUCAGUCUCACUAAGUAGGAACCUCAGUAGGAAACACAUGGAGUCCCUCAUACAUCCCUUCUUUGGAAAAGUGCCUUCCAUGAGCUCACAGUUUGAUUUAAUUUACAAGAGGUUUCAUUGAACAUAUUUAUAUAACUUAUAAUCAAAGCUCUUAAGGAGUCAUUUGACAUACUCCACUCCUGAGUUCAUGAACCCUGUUUCAAUGGUUUGCACUUCCUCAUCUAAGUGACCCUUUCCCCUUCCGAUCUUCCAGUGUUUUGCAGUGAGAACACAGCCCUCCAUAUGUCUGUCCUUCCUCUUGCUGUUUAUGUUUAUAGCUCACUUGCAGUAUAACAGAUUGAGGUGCAAGGGGAACUCAAGGCCCAGGAGAUGACAAACAAAGUCAUAACAGGAGUGAUAGAAAUGUAAAAGGUUUGGAGCGAGUCAAUGGCUCUCUCAAUUUUUCACAGAAUCAUAAAAAAACGCGUUCUGUUCGACUUCACAGCUCUGCUCUCCCUCUCCUCGAUAUUAUUGACCCAGCUGGUCCCUGCUGGCUCUCUGAAUACGGGACGAGGCUUUUCAUUUAUUCUCGGACACUGUGGAGAGUCCUUGAACUGCUUGUCCCUGUCAUGUGCACUCGCUGGUGGGACCGUUGACCUUGUGGAGCAACUCAAGCGUGGCUCUUGGCAUAUGUAGAUCCCUUCGCCAGGGGCCCUCUUGUCACAAAGCAUCUCACAGAAAUGCUAAGCUAGAGUCGCUGGAAGGGUUUGGAUCAACAAACGGAAAGUGAUCCAUGUAACCGAUGAGGAUUAAAUUCUUUGAAUCAAAAAUUCAGAAGAUUAUUUCUGGCUGGUUUGGCAACACCUUUGAAACAGUUUGUAAAUACAGGAAAGACUCGCUGAGUGUUCAAUCUGUCAAAAGUACAGCAGGGUAGCAUCUGGUGUGGUUGUCUGUUUACAGUGCAACCAAACAAACUCAAACUGUUUCUAAUAAAAAGUCCAUUUAGCAGAGCUGUGCACAUGUCUUUACUUUUUAGGCAUAAACAGUGUACAUAACCUACAAAUAUCUUCAUUUGGCCCUUCACAAUAAAAGCACGGGCAGUGGCAUUUGCAUAAGAGUAGCCACGCAGAGCUAAUGAGGGUAAUUUGACAGUCCCAUCGCAAUAGACAAGUAAAUGUAGAAGAAAUAAUGAUGUAUUAUCACUGAUGAUAACUAAUAAUUACGCCUUGUCAGACAGUCAAUGGAGCCUCGACUCCAGAGGGAGAUUAUGCAGUCAAGUGGCGUCUAUGCAGGGCCGGCCAGACAAUGGCAGUGGGGGUGUUGACAUCUCUGUGAGUGACAGGCUAACUGGGGUUUAUCAGUUUGAUCCAUGUAAAAUGUGGGGGGAUUACAUGACGCGUGCUGUAAUCCUGUGGGCAGGCUUAAUCCAGACCUCCCUCCGCCCCCCUACCCCUACCAACAAAAGCAAUUUGAAGGGAGACAGUAACUAAAUCAAAAUCAAAUAAAUGGUGAUUGGAGGAGAAUGCUGAUACUGCGGCGUCUAAAAUGUUCUUCAUUUCAGUAAAAUUGGACUUGAAAGGAUACGAGUGCCAAGAGAUUCAGUCUUGGCCUUUUUAAGCCUCUAAAAAGCUAGCAAAACAUCAGCAGUCUGUGAUUCCCUACCUUCAUAAUAGUUUUAUCUUGAUUGCACAGUUUGAUAUUGACCUGGUCUCAUUGGCAAGGUAUUGGACCAUUCUUGAUAAUCUAGGAAAAGUGCCCUACUAUCUCCAGGGGCCCUGGUCUUGGCAGAAACUAGAAUCUGAUAUAGGCCGCUGAUGAAGUAUUGCGUAUUGUUUUGGAUCAUUUCCUUGCUCUUGAAAAGGUUCUUGGCCAAUACACGAACUCUUAAUUGUCAAGUUAGGUUGCUGGAUUCAGUAUCCUUACGCAGAAGUUUGUAAAGUCAAAAUAAAUAUAAGCAUCACAUUAAAUUUUGAAUGACAAAGGCGUCUUUGCUUGGGUUGAAAUGUGCACCCCAUCCGCAUAGGCCACCAGCCCUGUCCAAUGGAUGGCUGUUUGUGACUCUUGAACUUCACCAUUUGGUGCGUGAUUGCCUCAACCACAGAUAUGACCACAAAAAUACGACAUGCCCCUUUCAGCAGCAUGCCUACGGUGAGGUAAAGCUAGUGGGGGCAUUGUUUACAUUAAAGGCCAUGCAUGUAAAAAAAAAAAAAAGGUUUAAUACAAUGUUCCGUAGUAGUAGCACGUGUUUUGGCGUUGUAGAUCAUGUAAACAGUUUGAGAAAUGAGUAAGUUAUGGUUUAUUUUCAUUUUACUUGCAUUGCCUUUAAUAGAAAUGUUGCCCUCGCCAAGAUGGCUGCCAUGUAGGCUAGUUGCUUAAUGGGCUGCUACUGCACGCUGAUGUAUCCAGUCUUCUUUAUAUAUCUUUGGCCUCGACUAUUGACCAUCCCCUUGACUAACUUGACUAUUCAAUGACAUUAUCAAGGUUUUUCCUUGACAAUGACAUGAAAGGGAUCAAAAUCUGACUCAAGGCUUAAUAAAUAACGGAGGUGUCAUGCAUGAGGGGAUAAACAGGAUAAAGCAAUGAUUUGACACAGGAUAUAGCCGCUCUGUUUUUAAUGCAAUUAAUAUUCAAAGAAGUGUGUGCUAACUUAAUACCGGUCUCAAAAUACAAUCAUUGUCACCCCAAACUGUCAAUAACUGUCAGCCAGCCACACUGAUGAACUUCAGCUCCCGCCUUGAGUCCUGACAGGCUGAUUGCUUUUUGGACUAAACAGCUUGAGGCUGAUUGCGGCUCAUAUUUGAGGACGACCACAGGGACGUGGCCCAGGUAUCUCAUUGCUGAAACAGGAGAGUGAAGCUGUCAAGGUGUGACACAUGAGCUAAUGACCUUUGACCUUGGCUGUGCAUUAGAGUGAGGGGGCUGCGGAGAGGUAGAGCCCCAUUCAAGGAGCUUUGAAUGCAUUUGGCCUCCUCCUGACUUGGAAAUGAAGAAAUACGACUCCGCCGCAAAUCCGCCCGCUCCAUCUUGAUCAAAUAUUUUAUUUCCCCACCCAUGUUUAUAAUGUGUGCCUUCUUUCUUCAUAUAAUCCCGCAGGCCAGUCAAGAUUUGCGGCAUUAAGUAGACAAUUGUUUGUGGAAUACUUUCACAUAAUCCCAUGACCCACUUUUGGUCUUUGCAGAACACCAUCAUUGAAUUCCUUUAUAUGGCUUCAUCACAGGCAGAAUAAAUUUCCAUGUUUUAAUGUAAAUGUGAACUCCUGAGAGCUUUUUCUAAAGAGAUGAUUCCCAUACAGCCACUCAGCACAGCGAUGACUCGCCUGGUGGGUGAGAAAAAGCACGAAGCCGGCCUGACCCUGUUUAUUUUAACUGAUGAAAAUGCAGGUGUCUUUUAGAUGCCAGGGAUUGCUGGUAGAGUUCAUUUCAGGCCUCCUGUAGCAUUGAUAAAUAAAUUCAGCGAUGAUAUUGUUGGCGUUGUUUAACACAGCGGUGUUUGGAUUGGGUUACAAGAAGAUGUUCCCGUGAGAACUGCUCGAUGGCGAUGCGACAUGUUGGCACGAGUUAUGUUUAGACUCAAAACAUAGAUCCAGUUUCAAAAUAUUCAGAGAAACCAGAACGAAGAAGGGCAAAUCUUUUUUUCUUCAUAUUUCACUUUAAGUCGAGAGAUAAAGUGUCCUUGUUUGGCGUGGCUUUUUGAGUUUACACUCAGUUAAUGAGUUUAUUUCCAUCUCAAGAGUGGACAACCUGAACUCUCUUCAAAUAAAAGGAUGGUGGGAUUCUUGGGAACAGGAUGGAAAAUGAAAGAGUUUGAAGUUUUUGCCAUCUCCCUCUUGAGACACGGGAAACAACAUCAAACUCCUGUGUCAUGUAAACCUCUUCCAGCUGAAGUCUCUUUUUGUGUUUAGAGCAGGAAAUGAAAGUAUGUUUGUUUCUGUCAGUUUGAUUAAAUGGUGACGUAUGAGAAACCAAAGCAGAGUUGGUAAAACACCUGUCCACAGCUUUUAUUUGCGGAUAAACCAAGCGGUUUUGGAUUAGGCUCAAACCAAACCAAACUAAACUAGCAGGGUAUAAUGUAAACUUGGAGAACUCAAACUGUUUCUAAAAAGCUCAGAAAGGUUUUUCAAGGAUACCUGCCUUCUCCUCUGUAUUAGGAGUCAGAAUAUAAGAUUUUCAACCCAGGAUCAAGAUUAAGGAACUUUUUAUUCACGUCACCGCCCAUGUGAGAGGAACUUUUUUCAACUGCUUGUGAUUCUGCAUUUCACCUAUCCUUUAUCAUUUAAAAGGGGAAACGUAACAAUGGCUGUUUUUUUAGCAUACAGCAUUUGUUAAAUAUUACAAUAUAGGAAGAGUCAAUCCUGUCCUUGAUGGUCGCAUUUGAGAUGCAUCAUUGUUUCUAAAAUUUAAAGAGACAUUAGCAUCUGGCUGCUAAAUGUUAAUCAAAACUACGACUUCAUGACGACUUUACAAAGAUAGUGUUGAGGUUUGAACAACUUUUAAGUCUCAUUUUGAUACAUGUAGCUCAAACGAGUUUAAAUGUCUGUGAAAGCUCAUUAGCAAUACGCCUCUGAGUCGUGGGCGGAGACAGCACUGCUCUGCACACUCUUCUUCAUGUUAGCUUGUAGCCUAACAUUGCCGGUGUAGUAGAAGUAGCAGGGAACAUUGUAGCUAUUCAGCUCUUGGACACUAAUGUCUUUGGGGACACGAUGGAAGCUAAUAUCAUGAUUAGCUUUCUUACGAGCAUUGCAAUCCGCUAACGCACACGUUUGUUCCGCUCUCUAUUGCUCUGAGCCUGGCUUGCAUAGUAGGGCUCCGGGGGGCGGAGCUUGGAUUUGUGAUGUAGGAAAUCUCACUCUGCCUGAGCCUGCCGUUUGGGUCUGCCAGAGAUUCACAGCAAUUUAUAUGCAGAAAUACCCAGAAAUGCAAUUUUGCACUGAGUUUUCUAAUGGUAUGUCCUGUAGCUUCACAAAUAAAUGCUAUAUGAACAUGUAAACAAAAGGAAAACGUGAUUUUCAUCGGAGUGGGUCUUUAAGGGUUCAAAUAGCCAAAAACAAAAAUAAAAAUCUGGUCCACUAGACUAAAUUCUUAUUAAAUGCAGAUAAGGAGAGUGAAAAGAACUGAUUAUUUUGGGGAAAAAAAGCUCUCUUAGUGGAUCAUAUUUUACCUCUUUCAAGCUUCUAUGCAACUGUGUGUACUAUCUAAGUGAGCUUUAAUACACAAACGGCUACAGUGCUAGAUUUCAUCUCAAAACUGCAUUAUAUUUAGCCAACUACAGCACCUGCGUUUCAUUUACACCCCCGCCAAGAUCUACAACAGGUAAAUGGACACCAUGUGUUUGAUUGUAAUGCACACUUCCUGGUGAUACCAGUUAUGCUCCUUGAUCCACCGACGGGGACCAUCCGUCACGUCGGAGCAGAAAAGUGAAAGCAGAUAAGUGUCGAAAGGGUCUGACUGGAAACAGACUCGGCCGGGCCCAUAUGGCCUCGUAAAGACUACGGCCCUUCACUGUAAACACUUCCCAAUUUUAGAACGCUUAAGAGCUGACAGUAAGCAGACGGCGGCCUCUGUGCCGCAGAGCUGCGCAGAGCAGAAAAGAUCCCACUAUGCUGCAAAGGAAUCCCACUUCUAUUAACUUCUACAUCUAUUCCUUUCACUCUUUAACAGACACGGCGGCCUCCCUUGUGUUGCGAUGUUUCACCUCUGUGUCAUCUGUGCGUAACACUUUCGCCUGAUAAGAAUAUAUGAGGAGGAUCCCCUGAGUGGUGGUAGUUGAAAGCAAAAGGUGUCAGCUUUGGAGAGUCUUCCUUUAAAAAUACUCCACAUAAAAGCUUUUUUACUCCCAAUUCUACUUGAAGAUAAAGUCACAAACAAACAGCAUCUCCCACUCCUGCACAACUCCUAUUGUUUCUGCAAAAACACAUUUCACACAUGCUUUCACCCCCUUACUGCCCAUUAGACGGCGCAUUAGAGAAGCUCCAACUCCCACAAACAAGCCAGAGUGAAAAAUGAGAUUUUGACAGAAAUUGGUGGCUGUUUGCACCGUCGGGGAGCUUCUACACUUUCUCGAAGCACUUUCAUACAGCUGGAGCAUUAGACGUAAUUUUGUCCCUCUGUCCAGUCAUAGCAGGGGUGGUGUUUAAGUUGUGUUACCUCUGACUUUUUCGCAGAUGCCAGGCUGAGCUACUUGAUUUCUAAAAGCCGCGUUGAAUGGGAUUUGCAGCUCUUAACUCAAUCAGUCUGACCUCUCAUGUUUAAGUGAAAAAGUUCAACCUGGAAAUAUUUUGUCAGGACAAGGUCUGAAAAAGUAGCACUUUGGUCUGAAGGAUAUCUUUAAUAAUUUUCUUUUUUUACAGUCUUAGCUGGAUUUGAUUCUUGCAGACCAUUAAACCUCAAACAUUUAAAAAUCAUUUCACAAAUAUCUCAUAUUUUUCAAAGCUUGCAUCCUUCCUCGGAUGAUAUUAAACGACUAACUGGUACAGGCGCUUCACACACCGGUUUUGACGUACAAUUUUUUUUUUUUUAAUUGAAUCAUAAAUUAUAGAAUAUUUGCCUUAGAUUGAGCAUGAAUAACAUCAAAAGAGAAAAAAAUAACACAAUUUCAAGGUUAGAGGCCAUUCUAUAUCAAUUCAAACAUUUCUAGUAAAGAAAAUAGGCGUAGGGCUCUAUUGUCUGUAACAAGUUUUAAGGAUUUACAAAAAAGUAGCAGCUCAUUCUUCCAGUGAGGUAGGCAUGGUCUUGUUUUAAAAUAUCGACACUUGUGAAUGAAGAACUUCCCCAAAAGCAGCAAAGCAUUUAGAGCAAAAUCCAAGUUCCUAUCCUCGUUAAAAACACCAAACAAAAUAGUUUCUGCUGGCAAGGGGAAUCAAUGUUUUUGGACUGCAACCAGGGGCCUGUUCGACGAAGCAGGAUUACUGCUUAGCGAGGUAACUUCGAGGGUAAAUUCGGAGUUUCCUGUUCUACGACGCGGGUUCACUUCCUUGCGAGGCGAGUGUCCAUGGCAAUGUACGCUGAAUGGCUAACCUGCUCCGGGGCAGGUUAGGUUCCAGAUUGAACUCAUCGGGUAUAAAAUGGCAUCAAAGAUUUUUUGCGCACUAUACUUCCGCAUUAAGACUGUCAGCAAUUUUCUGCCAGCAUUCCUUCUGAGCUUUUGCAGCGGCGACGGUGUUGCUUUUAAGGUUUAUGAUAGAUUUGAAUUCUUCAUACUUUCUCAUGAUCGUCUCCUGCUCCUCGUUUGUAAAGUACGCUGUCCUUCGCUCUCCGGCCUGCUCUGAUGCUCCAGACUGGUCCAUGUUCGCAAUUGGUCAGAUGUGGCGGUCUCCGCCUUACAAGCGUGCACGCGCUCAUAGCAAAGCUGGAUCCACUUACGAGGUUGAUAACCAGCGUCGUAAGACUGUUUAGCGAGACCGCUGGGUAACGCGCUAAGUUGAGCGAGGUAGCUCCAAGGCUACCUCGCUCGGUUGAACUUGCUUCGUAGAACAGGCCCCAGCUCUACAUGUUACUCCAGAAGGGAUGUACCGCACUACAGUGAAAAAAAAAAAACAUGACACAGGUUUUCAACGUCCACAUCACAAAACACACAAUUAUUUCCUUCAAAGUUAAACCUUAAUCUUAAAAAUUCGUUUGUUGGAUAGAUUUCGUUCAGGAUUUUGAAAUGGACUUCUUUUGCCUUGGGAGGUAAUGGCAAGGAGAUAUAAUUCUUUCUUAUCUUUUUAAUUUUAUCCAGAUCAAAUUGCUUCAAAAUACACAUCCUUUUAGUUGGGCUAGGGUAAUAUUCGUUUACCAACAUAUUGCUGAGAGCUUUGUUGUUACAUUUGCGAUCACAAAAGUCUAACCUCCCAAUGUAGAGUUGUCUCAAUCUUUGGGAGACUGUGGAAUAUCAAACAUCUUCUCUCACCAUCGCCCUCAGAGAGAUUGGUAUUGCAUUCAUCAUUUUUGUAUAUUCCCAUUGUCAUCUAACAAGUGAGCAACAGCCCAGACUCCUUUUGAAUUCCAUUCAUCCUUAUAAACUGAAUUUCUGUUAAUCAAUAUGUAUCUAUUAUUCCAGAUUGGUGUAUUGUGUGGAGUAAAAUUAUGACAGUAAAGUAAUUUCCAGUAGAGCAGGGCUUGUUGAUGAAAAUCAGAGAGUUUAACCGGGAACAAUUUGCAUUCAAAAUCACAUUGUAGUAAAAAAUCUAUUCCACCCAGUUUUUUUGAAAACCAAAUUAGGAACAGUGAACCGAAAUGACUCCCUAUUUGAAAAGAUUUCAGCCAUUUUAGUUUUAAGACGCAAUUCAUAACAACAAAAUCAAUCACAUUUAUACCCCCGUCUUCAUACAUUUUAACCACGUCAUUAUUUCUUAUAUAUUAACACCUGUUCCUCCAUACGAAUCUAAAAUUUAUAGUAUUUAUCAUGUUUCGACUUACAAGUCUUCUUCAGUGUGUGACGGUACAACAGGAAGUGACACGUUUCACACAUUAUACAAUAUAAACAUCACUGACAUAAAAAAAUAUAUAAAACAGUGAUAUCAAAUAUACAUCAUAAAAAAAUAUACAAAGAAGUGAAGGUAGUUUACAUAAAUUUUUUAACAAAACCCAAAGAUCAAAAUCGGUGCCAUCAACUAUUUAUUUUUACAAGUGUUGCUGGCUUUUUAAUUAAUUUAUUUUUUAUUCUAUUUUAUUUUAUUUAUUUAUUGUUUCCAUGUACCUCUUAUUUUUCUACAGAUAUUUUGAGUCUGCAUGUUUUAUUAUUUUUUUUAAUUUUUGAAAUUUUUUUGGUCCAUUUUUUUCUUUGUCUCCCAUCUCAAGCCUUUUCCUCCUUAUUUUCCUUAACCUAGCUUCAAUCAUGCUAGAUCCGGCCUGGGAAUUCUCUCAUGUUAGGUAAAACCGUAAUCUGGUUGGGAGGCCGAUUCCCAAUGACGCAACUCAACGAGCUUUAAAGCUAAAGUCAUGGGACUGGCUCAAAAAUAUCAGUGGUAGAUGAUGUACAGAUAUUAGUGUUGAAAUAUUCAUGGAAGUUUAAUACUGAGGGUUUUCAUCUGUUGCAUCUGCCUUGCAUCAUUAGCAGCGUUGAGCACGAACUUCCUUUCAUCGCCCUCAAAAGUGUUGUUUUAGAGUUAGCCCCACCUACACCAACGAUAAUGUGUUGACUAAUUUUUUGUGUCUGGUUUCAAAAUAAGACCUUUUUGUUGUGCUUCAAAGGGGUCUUGUUACUCCAGGUUUCAACUUAGUGACUGUAAAUAUGCUUGGUGUUUUGGAAACACAUUGAACAUUACAUGCUGAUGAAAACUUGAGUUUUGAUCCAAGUGUGUGGUCCCAGCUGAUCUAAUUUUUGACAUUUUGCAUCAAGAAACUCAUGUUUCGUGUUUGAUCCUCUAUAAAAUGUACAUAUAAGGCUUUUGUACCUCGUGCAUCAUUAACUCUAACUUUGAUGUCUCGCCAUGAAACAGAAAGUUGAUGUCACUCUGUCAUACAAUGUUCAAUCUUCUUGAAAUUUCAUAAUCUUGGUUGAGGGCGGACCCUGAACACAUCAGUAUACAAGUAUUUCAUUUUCACUCAUGUUUGAAGUGCCACCUGGUGCAGCGUCUAAGGCUACAUUCAUACUGCAGGUUAUGAUGCACAAUUCGGAUUUUUUGUUAAAUCCAAUCUUUUUUCGCCUGUUUGUUUUGUCGAACAACAGUGACAUUUGUUGCAUAUUGAUGACGAAUAGAUCGGAUGAACACGCCUGAGCGUCCACACUGCAGUCACAUCAGAUACAUAUCCGAUUUAUAUCCACAUACAAAAGAGGCCUGGGUCAGAUUUGAAAAAAUCAGAAUUGCACUGUUCACACUUACAUGAAAACAUCAGAUAAGUGUCACAUAUGGUUAAAAAGUCGGAAUUGACCCGCAGUGUGAACAUAGCCUAAGCUUAUAAGCUUAGCCAAGUUUCAGUACAAUGUAAAACAUUAUACAUUUGUUGUAUUUUCUAUCUAGCUGUACUCCUCUAAAUGUGAAAUUAUCUAUAUUCAGAUUGUAAAACUUCUGAGUAAAUCUUCCCUCUGAAUGACCCACAAUUAGUCUGUGAGUCAAGUCCAAUAAGACCCCCAAAUAUUUUGCAAUAGCUGCCCUUGUAAACUCGAGUCGCAUCUUCAAAAACACUUCUAAGACGUACUUUGAUCUUAUUUCAUGUCUUUAUUAGUCAUGACGACAGGCAUCAGAAAUGCUCUCAAAUGUAUAGCUCAGUUUCACCAGACAAAUGAGCGAAACACAACCCUCAUGACAUCAGUGUCCGUUUCGGCGUCGCCAGAUUUUGUUUUGUGGAUGAUUCAGAGGCAUGAAUCCUCCCUGGUUUGGUAUUUCCUGUGAACACUGUGCUCCCAUUCAUAACCCAAUCACUUUGAUAGCAGCCCUCCUCUGUAGUCUCCAUGACCUCACUCGAGAGUUUCCCCCCAAAUCACUCCCAGAUCAAAGACUGCGAUGCUUGAUCCUCUGAUAAUAGUGCAAAGCCUCCAGAAUCUCAGAUCAGACUUAGACUUUGUGCCCUACUUGUUUCAUCCCCCCACCCUCCUUCCUUUUUUUUUUUUUUCAUUUCACUGCUCAGCGAAUUGCCAUCCUAAGUAAAAAGAAAAAAAAAAAGCAUUUUGAUUCCGUACAAGAGACAUGCCGAAAAAGUCAAAAGAGGGUGAGCACUUAGCGGAGUAAUGAUGCCAUUUAGCAUCGCCACUCUCCCAGUUUGUGUGACCUAGAUAGGGAACGACAUGAGCAGACUGUGGCGACUGGAGCCGCUUCCAUUUGCAGAAACGCUGAUACAUUUCUGCUCAGAUAUCCUGUCAAACACAGUAUGCAAAUUCAUUAUUUAUUUUUUUUUUACUCCUUAUAAGAAAACACCUGACGGUCUGUGUUGUAUUUAAGGAUGCGCUUUGGUGGCUCGGAAAAAGUUUCAGGAGCAGGGAAAGUUCUUGUCGUGGCACGUUUAUCUUGCAGUCGUCAUCUUUCCCCCUUUGUUUGUCACUCCUGUACAUAUAUUUGAGAAUCAGAUUAUAGCUGUUUGUUUAUUAUUAGAUGCUAAUCCUCCAACUAGACACACUGUCUGAUUGCGGCGUAAAGAUGCUCCGACAAGGACAAAUUCUCCAAGUGGCCGUCCUCAUCUUGUCGUUACAUAUUCAUGACCUGGUAUUUUGGUCUUCAUCAGCAUGAAGACAUAUUGAGAUGAUGACAAAUUGGCUUGAAUCCAUAAGCACACACACACGCACACAGACAGACAAACACACACACUCCUGGGAGUCCGCGAAAGAGGGGGGCGAUCCAAGGGCAUCUUCUCGUCCCAGACGCUCAGUAUAGUCCCACAAAUCUGCCUCUCUCUGCACUUUCUGCAUAAUUCCCCCCACUGCUACGCCUCCGAAUGACCUGCGUGAUCGCCAUGAAUAUCAAUGUCACGCGUGUCGGGCUGCGUCAAUUAGGCUCGGUUUGAUGCAUGUCGCCGGGGUGGUCGUUUAACAGCUCUACCAGCCUGAGGAAGCGGGGGGAGAAAGAUGCACAAGUUGGAUACUGCUGGCGGAUGCAUUUAUGUCACCUUAAAAAGCAAUGCAUUAGCCUCUUUGAGGAAUGUUGGAGGAUUAGAGGCUCCUUAGACCGCCGGAGAGCUCUGCUCUGAUCUAAAGCGACUCUGUCACUGUCAUUUUCUGCAAAUUUAAUCAUUAUUUUGACCUCCUGUGCAAUCAUAACAGCACCGAUUGGUUACUUUGUGUUAUCUUUGUGACUUUCACAAAUGAGCCAAAGUGAAAAAUUUGAUUUCGACAGCCAAGUUGGAAACCAUUUGCAGCCAAAGGGAUGUUGCUGAGCCUCCCCAGAACUGCUUUGCAUUUUCUCUUCUUGCAUUCUAAUGAUUAAUACCGUUGAAGCUGCAAAAACAUGAUAAAAUUAAUCAAAAUCUUUGAGGUGGAAUGUUCCCAUUAAAAAAAUACAUCAUGCUGGAAUUCAAAGAGAGAUAUAAAAGUUCAAGUAUGUGGAGUGAAUGAAAAAAGCAAGUUUAAAUGAGUCAACAUUUGAAAGGAAUCUGUCCCCACAUCUUUUAUUUUAUUUACCAGACAAGGUUAAAGAGAGGCCAACACUGAGUUUAGAUUUGAGUAACAUUCAUGCGCCAAAAAAGGGAACAAACAGAAUGAGAGCACCAUGAGUUCAACUCAAAAUGUCAAUUUUUUAAUUCAUUUUAAAGCAGAAAAGUACAUUUACGUCAUAGAGUCCCAUUUUUAAAAGUUUGGUAGCUGUAGAAAAGCUGAUAAAAACAGUUUUUGAUCAUCUGCAAAUCAUUACAACUCUAAAAUCUUUAAAAAUUGAUGAUACAUUAAAUGUUAAAGUUAUAAAUAUUUGUGCUCAUGUGCUAAAAAAAAAGGCAUGCCUCUGUAGUGGGAACCACCACAUAGUUUUGUCAUUAUCUGUUCUGUAAAUUUAGUUUUGCCUGGUUUUAUUAUCUAAAUGUAUUUUCUUUGUGUUUUCCCUGUUUCCAUCCUUUUUUUAAAGUGUAUUAUUCUUUAAAUCAGUUUUCAGUAUUUCCUGUCUUAUUUUGUAGUAGUUGAUUCCUUGUGUUUCUAGUCUGGUUUAACUUCACUAGUUUUCCCUCCUUCGUUAAUCACCCAUGAGUUUCACCUGUGUCUCGUUAGCCUCACCUGUGUCUCGUUUGCCUCACCUGUUGCUCGUUAACCAGUGUGUAUAUAGUCCCUGUCUUCCCCUCUGUCCUCAUUGGUUCAUUGUUUGUUGGUGUGUGCAUAUGCCUGUGUCACCAGUGGCCCCCUGUGAUUUUGCCUUUUGGAUUUUUCUCUUUUUGUUGUUUUUUUAUUUCAUUCUUUUUAAAUAAAUCCUGUUUUUGUUCUGCAUUUUGGGUCCUUUACCUUUUUGUUUAACUCUGGACCGUGACACACAUUAUUAUUAUUGUGAAUUCCUCAGAGUAAUACAGCCAACCAGUUUGUUCUGAAUCCACAGCUCAAAAACAAGACUCUGUAGUGGAAAUCACCACAUGGUCUCAGAAUCGCAUCCAAAAAUCACUGCCUGUGACCAUAUUUCCUGACAUAUUCAGUCAAGAGGAAAUGAUUGGCAACUGUCAAAAUCUGAACUCUAGCUUUAAGGUCCUUACACACCGGAACCGACACAAAUAUACAACGCGAAAUCACGAAAUAUUCAGAGGCAAAUUUUGAAGCGCCUGACUAUACACAUCAAGCCCGAUCCGAUUGUGCGACUUUCCGGGGGGAAAAGACUUGCCCGGGUGGAAGUGAGAAGACUGAGUGUUUUUUUCAGCUCUGAUUAGACUCUAGUGUUGAGAUCACUGUCUGUCAUGAUAGCAUGUACUGAGUCGGGGCCAGUACCAGAUAAGCACAUUAAACUAUAAUCCAUAAACGUAAGGUAACAACAGAGACCUAAUGGUGCUGUGACAGCAACACGAUUGAGUUUGAGACAGUGAAAAUACAUAUGGUAUGUUGUAUCUGAACAGGUUAGCUUACGAGCUAAAGUUACUUAGCGCAGAUGAAAGUUAAAACAAAGACGUUUAGCAAACUGUUAAAGCACACAAACCAUCGUCAUAUGAGAAAUCCGAUGCUAUGACUCUCCACAAGUUGUCCUUCAGGUCCUUAUCUUUGUAAUAUUUGUGUGUUUUAUCAAAAAGCACGUAACAUGUACACAAUCAGUCGGUCGGCCAUGUUGGAUAUACCAGUGAAUCUGACGUUGCAACAACACGAAAUCUGAUUGGUCAGAAGUGGACACACAGUAUGCCAAACUUCAGUAAAAUCGACCAUGAUCCGAAAAAAUACAUGCCGCAAUAUUGCAGGACGGGAAAAAAUCGCUGAUGUGAACGCCUGUAUUGACAGGAUACAGAUUCGAAAAAAAAUAUUGACGUCCGAAAUUAUCGCACGAAAAAAACGCUCCCUGUGUAUAAGGACCUUUACACUAUCUGACAUCUUAUGGAUAUUUGAAAUACUAUUUUUUUUCUGUAAUACGUAUUAAUGAGUUUUGACUGGUCUGAUACUUUUACAUGAAGCGGUUUCAUUAAGUAUUUUCCACAUAUGUCCCAAAUUAGCAUUUUAAUUAGUUUAUAACAGACAUUUUGACAUGUUAAAAUGUCAUUUCACCAAUUAAGAUAAAUAGCUAAAGUUGCUGCUACUUCUAAAACAUCAUUCCAUGCUACAUUUCAUGACAGCUUGGUGGUGGAAGAAAAGAAAAAAAACCCUCUGAGAUCUCGACAUUGAUGAAAGUCUUCAAGGGUUUUCCGCUCCUCGAGGCAAAGAGCCCCCCCGCCCCCGAGAGUUCAGGGAAAAGAAGCCCAUUACCGAUUCAGCACACUUUAACUACACGCAAAAGGGAAUCAAAUUAAAUGUCCUUUUAUUACUGUGAUUAUGUGGGACGAUGUCACUGUGGACUCCUGCUGUCACUCUGUGUCAGCUUCCCUAAUCUGACACAGACCACUGCUGGUACUCUGCCAGGACAAGUGCCCUUCAAAUUAAAAGACCUCUCUGCCAGAUUUCAACAUGCAGAACCGUCAGGCUCAGCUGCUGCAGCUCCUGACCUCUCUAACUGGCUGCUCUCCACCACACAUUACAGUUGUAUAAUGAGGACAAGUUAUAAGAAAAAAGAAAAACACUGACUGGAGUUUUAAAGGUUAGUCAUCUCCAUCAGGAUGAGCUUGAACAACUGUGAUGUUAUUCUUGUCUUUCAAAACUGAAGUGUAAUUGCUCGGUAAUUGCUUCAGCGGUUCUUGAUUUAUUGAUCGUUUUUGUGGGUGAAGAGAACAAGAAUCAAUGUAACAACCCUCAAACCAUCCACGUCUGACGUUUCAGGCAAACACGCAAUAAGUUGACGCAAAUGCGAGGCCGACAAACAAGAAAAGACUGAAAUAUCUACAGCCAGAGGGAACUAUUUUGCGGUGUAAUUCUCUAGUGACUCGAAAUGAUCCCUUCAGCUAUUUCAGUCUGUUCUAUCUUGACUGUGAGUAUCAGCCCAGGAGUUCACAUGACACACCACUCGUCCUAUUUGCUUUUUACCUUUUAAAGAAAGUCCCAAUAUCAAAGGAAAAAAGCCAGAUAUUAUCUUCUCAGCUCUUUUUCAAAGUGACAAUUUGAAGCCAGGGCAGAGGAGGUAGUUGCGUGUGCAGUUCUGCUGAGCCACAAAAAUAAGUACAUGGACAAUGUUGCCUGGAGUCAUUUUGGACCUGCGCCUUUCGGAUUUCUUUUUUUUCUCCUUCUGAUCUUGUGCUCAUGCCACUUUGUACAACAUCAGACUCAAAGAGGGAACUUUAUGUCCGUGCUAAACCUGACUCUGUCUUAACCAGGACGUAUUGUUGCUGUUUAACCAGGAGUAGCAGCAUCUUACCUCAGAGACUUGUCAUUACAAGCCAAAAAUAAAGACCUAAUUGACCGUAAUGGGUACACAUGGCUUCACUUGCAGCUAGCAAAAAUGUCUUGAUAUGUUUCUGGAGGCAAGAUGAAGAACUUGUCAAGCAAAAUUUGGCAUGAAAUUCUUUGAGAAAAGAUUCUUUCCACCACAUUUCAAAGUUUGUUUGCUGGAAAAUGUGGACUAAACAGAUUUUAAUGGUUUCUCAAAUGGUUUAAACCAAAUAUUUGUUUGGAAAUUAUGUUGAAUGACACUCAUACCAAAUGGCUGUGAUUUUCCACCCCUUAGAUGGCACUACAUCCAAAAUAAAGUCAUGACUCUGUAGUGGAAAUCACAGCAUGGACUCAGAUUAUUUCCCAUAAACAAUUAACUGUGAGCACAUUUGUUGACUUUACUUUUGGAAAUUUAGGGAAAACCACAACCACCAAGCCCACAGCUCAAAAUACACACAACUUUGUAGUGGCAGUCACGGCAUGGGCCCAUCAAAGUUGAGCUGUACCGAAGAGCUGAGGACAAACAGCAGUUGCAAAAGGAAGAUAAGGCUGCAACUCUGUCAGAAACACUUGAGAAAACCGAAUUAUCGCCUUACUCCGAUUAAGACCGAACAACUGAAGUGCAUGUAAACACCUUAAUCCGACUAAAAUCAGAGUUUGAGAACUUCGAUUGGAGUCGGAGAACUCCAAAUAAGACACCCAAAGAUUUUCUCUACCAUGUAACCAGCGUAGUUCUAGUAUGAGAGGACUAUGCAUGUGCGCCAUGUCCCCGUAACCCUGGAACAAAAACACCAGAGAAGAGGAGUAGCGUGCACCUCAUCUGCAGAAAAAGUAGCGCGUACAUCAUAUACGACAAAAACAACACAGUACAAUGCUCCAUCUUCUUGCUUGAAAAUGCCCACCAGCAGUUGUGGCUACUUCUGACGUCUGGCAUGGACCUGCUGUUGUUGUUGGGUCAACUGGAAACAGCGCCACUGAAAAGACCCAUAUCGCCCCCUAGUAUAGGGGAGGAGGACAUGUUCACAUCAAUAAUUUGAUUUUCUCAGCUGCAUGUUUACGCAGACAAGGAGAGAAGUCCGAUUCAGUUGAAAACAAAAAGAAUUAUGAGCUUAGUCCGAUUAAGCUGUGCAUGUAAACACACAGACUGUGAGUUUCCCUUAUCUGAGUUGAACUCUAAAGUUCCCAGUCCCUGGGGAAAGUUCCUGCAGUGGAAACGCACCCUCAGCUUCCCUUUCCCAUUCUGUUUUCAUUUUAUCAAACAACACAAUGAAGCUAAUGUGUCCUGAUGCAGCCUCCAGAAUAGACACAGUUAUUUUUGAAGCAGGACAGAACUGCCUACUUUUACUUUAACUGCAACACUUUGAAGUCCAGAGCCCAGAAAUGCUACGCACUGGUAACUAUUAUUCCUCUGCAAACUUUCUUCAGCUUAAGCCUUUCUGGCUGGCACACCUUGAUCAUACAUUUCUCCAGCACCUGAAAGAGAGAGCUAUCAAUAAUUGAUUGAGCAGAACGAAGCGUGUGCGCUCUUCAAGGGGGCGGCUGGCGUCUGUGUGCGGUUGUUGUUUUUAUUGGGAAUCUGAAGGUAAAAAAUGUAAGAAAACACUGUUUCCAACACUUUUUGUUUCUCUCUCGUCCUUUGAAGAAAAAAAAAAAGAUAAUUUGAAUGGAAUCGACAAGUCCAGGCACAGCAGUUUAUCUCCUUUUUCUAAAAAAAAAAAAAAAAAACUCAGUUGCAAAAACUGAAAAGAAUUUACAACAGUCUCUAGUAACUCUAAGAAAAUUUGCUUUUUAGAAACAGAACUUCUGUGUACAAACCCAAGAGAGUUUGGAGGAUGAGGAAAGUGGUCAUGGUGCCGUCAUAGAUGUGCAAACUACCCACGUCAUGGACACUUCUCCACCCCUUUACCACCAUGGAUAAGGGCCGAUGUAGAAGUGCUACAAACUGCAGCUCCUAGGGUGCCCACUUGAGGGUGGCUGCAGGAUUCAGGUUGACCGCCAAAACCAAUAUGGCCACCACUGCCAUCAGGCUUCAAAACGUAAAUGUGUUUACCAAUGCUACGUCCAUUUAUAAUAGAGUAUAGACCUACAACUUGGUAGAGGGAAUCCCUCAGGAGGAGCUGCCUCACCCGCAAAUUCCACUGCAUCCGGAACGGCUAUUGCAGCUGACCAUAACCAUUCAAGUCCAUGUGCCAAUUUCCAAUGGCUUCUUUCCAUUUUGUUGCGGGUCGCCAACUCCGCAGCUGAUCGCAAGAGUUCUAUUUUUUCAGGAUGCCGGGACAUUCCGGGUAAAUUCAGCACAAAUUAGUCCGUGCUGGAAAGGAAGUCAGGCACAGAAACAAAAUGAAACAUCCGGCUUCUUUUCAAAAUAAAACACUCCGUGUUUCACACCAUGCAAAUGGGCGCUGACAAACAAGUUAAAGGUUUAUAGACAGCAUUUCACCCCUAUGACAGAAUGGAUGAGGAGAUGCUGAUUCUUAAAGUCUAGAAGUAGAAUUCCUCCUCUGGAAGGACAUAAUCUAUACGGUUAUGUGGCUGUCUUUACAUAGACAACUUGUUAUCGCACAAUUGCAUGUACAUCCUCAGGUUCUUGUGAGUUCUCACGAUUCCCGCUGUCCGAAAUUCGCCUCACACACAGAUCUGGUGGAAAUCAAUGGAUGGCUAAAAUCUCAGCCGUUCCAGAUCCGAGCCAUUCCAGACAUGGUGGAAAUUUGGGUCUGCCUAUGUGGCCCAAUCCUUGAUCUUCUCAGUCCAGUUUAAUGGGUUCAGGCCCAGAGCCGUCACCAACAUCUGUAGAUCAGUUUUUUGGAAUAUCGUGCGUCUAAAACCUGCACUUUUAGACGCAGCGCCAAAGUGUGUUCACAGAUGAUCAUGUUUAGGCACGAUUUUGAGCCAAUGCAGUGACAUCCACUUCAGAGUCAUGCCUGUUUUUCCAUCUGAUUGCCAUUAUGUCCAGAGAUUUCUCCUCACUGUUUUUUUUAAUCCAUAUUAUGUUCUAUAGAUGAUAAAAUCUCUAAUUCACUAACCUUUAUAUUCAGUUUAAAACAGCAGCACAGAGCUGUGAGUGUAUUAUAUAACAGAACAAGUAUACAUACAGACAAGGUUGACCUUGCUAAAUGGCAGGUCAAGGUAUAUGGUAUUUGAGCACUGACAUGGAGACGUAUGGAAGUGAAAAGCAUCCAAAGAGGUCAUAAAUGGAUCCAUUUGCAAUGACCGCUCAUGGGAUUCUUGUGUUUUAUCUAAUGCAAUGCCAUGUUCAGAGUUGGACUUGCUUCUCCUGUGGGAACCGCACAUGUAUUCUACAUGAUUCAUGUGCAUUAAGUGGGCCCCAAGUCAUAGAACACACGCGCUCCGUAACGGGCGUAUUGGAAAUGAGACAUGGCACAUGCUGCAGCCUCUGAGCAAGAGGCAAGGGACUACUUCAAACACAAAUGAUAGAAGAGGUGAGUAAACACUAGGAAGGUGGUUUUAAAGUGAAAUAAAAGAGGUGAAAAUGGGUUGCCUGUGCUAUUAUUAGACGUGGUUUUGCCUCCAAAGGGCUUGGAGACAAUGUCCCUGCUCAUUACUGUAAAAACAACACAGCGGGGGGACAUGCUCGCAGUGACAGCACAAUCCCUGUCACAUUCCUGAUCCUGUUUUAUUAACUCAGCGCUGUAAGAAGCUUCGCCUCUUUGCAGACGACUUAGUUGUGCCACCGAUGAAAUGAAGCGUACUUGAAGAGAUCACUUUGUGCAGCUGGAGGCAGAUCCAGAGGGAAAUGGUUCAGAGGAAUGAUGAUGGGGGGAAAAAAAAGGUCCUGUGUGUUAAAUAUAUUCAUAAUGACGAUGAGACGUGGAAUGGGGAAAUGCUUUUGAGGGUUGCACCAAGACUGGAUUAAGGUUGCUGUCUCUGGGCGUUUGCAGCACCUCAUGAGACGAUCUGUGAGACAUAUUUACAAUCUUUGAGGCAGAUCCUUGAAGUAAAAAAAAAGGUUUGAUCAUAAUCAAAGAAUCAGUGUUUUUCAAAAAGGAGCAAGUCAUUAGUGUCAAAGUGACACAUGCUUAAUUAGAGCCCAAUCCCAGCAGCUCUGUCAAUUAAUGCAGACUGAGAGGUUGGAUAUAAUAAGAUGGGAUUAGAUGAAACUCAUUGUCCUCUGAGGACUUUCCCAUGGCUCAAUUAACUCGGCAAAUAACCUGAAUUAAUCACGAGCGUAUUGCAAUAUUAAUUUUCGGCUCAGAAACGGAUACAGCUUGCAUUAUUCAGCAAUAAUAAAAGAAAGCCUUCUUACAUCCGUGUGUGUGUGUUUGUUUACAAGGUGAAAAUGUGAUCCGCUUACAAAAAAAAAAGGAGCAUUUAUUGGCUGUAACCUUGCGGGAGGUUUUGGCUGCCGUCUGCACUCCAUCCCUCUCCUGUUUUCUGGCAGCGGAGAACUCUUUUAACCUUUUCUGUCUGGAACUCAAAUGAGAAAUUUAGUCGCUCACCCUAGGAACCAAGCUCAUUAAAGCAUAUCGGGGCUUCAGCUCAUACUUGCAGUAUCCGGGGCAUGAAUAUGCAUUAUUCAAACACAGGACAUUAUCUAUCUAGUUGUGCUUCUCAGUAAUGUUAGUUUUUUUUUACCCCGGAGGAAUAAAUAUGUAAAAUAUUUCUACAACACCAAUACGUCAACUUCAUGAUCUUGAAAACAUAAUUGCUAAUUCAGUUAGGAGGUUCUAAGUCCCGGCUUGCUUUUUUCUUUUCCUUUCUAAAGACGCUGCAUGCUUGAGAGGCAAAUAUUCAAAAAACAUCUCUGAUGCUUUGAAAAAUAGUAAUUUGAACCCUGAAUUUCACAGAAAAUAGUGAAAACAUCAUCUCUAAUUUAAAAAAAGUAACAUUUCUUCUGCGUUGCGAUACAAAACAGGCAUGAAUCUGAAGUGGAAAUCAUUGCAUGGGCUGAAAACAGUCUCCAAACCAUUUUUAGUCAAAGUUAUUAGUCCUUAUGUCUUCAAAUGCAGGAUAACCAUAUGUUGAUCCAUUCAGGACAGACUGAUGUUGAAUGAAUAACUGUCUUGUUGUCUGUUGAAUUAAAAGUGGGGUAGGCAGGAUCUGAGGAAGUGCCAGUUUUUGGGAGAUCUCUUGAAUAUAAACACUCAGUCCCUCAGUCUCUGCUCCAGCAAGCCCCGCCCACAAACAGACGUUCGUAUCAUUCCAUUUAAAUUCAGAUAUAAUGCAGAUAAAUACUUCAGAUGAUUAAAAAUGGGGCCCAGUCAAUGUGAAAAUAAAAAGCAUUGGUGCUACUGCAGAUGCCAACAGACUACCAGCAAAUACAAUGAUUACAGGACUUCUACAACUAGGAUAAAGUGACAUAGUCCAGGACCCGAGGUAAACAGUUUAGCAGCACUACAACACGCAACAGGUCCUGUUUCACAAGAAAUCAGGGAUGCUAAAGUGAUCUUGUAUACCUCAGUCAGACAUCACCUAAUGAUAUUUUGCAGGUAUCACAACAGUAUGGCUCAGAAGUUAAGGAAUCCAGGUGCUUUGCCCUAUUUUCAAUCACUCUACCUAACACAGCCGCUCUAUUUUUUUUUAGACAAUACAGCUGUGUUAUUGGCUGUUGAUUCACAUGUGAACAUAAACCUCAUGGCACUUUUAAUUAUAUAGUCAUGUUGUCCCUCAUUUGCUCCCAUCAUUCCAACAAGCCCAGCGGGGAAACAGUCAGCAGCAAAGAAAGUGCCAGAUGCUUUCAGAGAAAAUCACACAUUGCUUCAUUAUGACAACAUGCAUCAGCUGCAUCCUUCAGUACAUUCUGUGCUGCUCAGAUGAAUUAGCAUGCACAGCUUAAUCAGCUUAGAAAUUGAUUGUAUUGGGCUGUCAGACUUGUUGUGACUCCAAUCCCUUGCAAACUCCAUCAAUAUCAGCUCUGGGGAGUUUGCGUAUGGCUCUGCAUUUAACGGUGUAACCUGCACACAGGGAGACCAGCAGGAGUCCCCCCCUCGGCGUGGUUCAUUUGUCACCCCGAUGAUAAUCUAUAAUAGUCAGGUUCCCUGCUUGUGUGGGCCAAACUCGGCUGCAGCUAAGAGGCUGGAGUUGCUAUGCACAUUUUGGCUAACUACAUCAGAUGACGCGCAUGAAAAGAAAAAGGAGAAAUUGGAUUAGGCUUGAUGUAUAAAAAGGGUGUGUAAUUCCUGAUGACGUUGCUCUUACUGACACACUUCCCCAUCAUUAUACUUGCCAGCCUGCAGACUGCCAGUGCGGCACUGUGCCAUAAGUUUUGACCGCCGGUUGUGCCUGUGGUUUUUGUUUCUAAAAUCUGAUGUCUAAUUUGCCUACCAGCCUCGUGGUGCUUGUCUGUUAAGAUAACAGAGGGAUGAUAUUAUGAAGGGCCCUGAAGUUGCGUACUUUAGGGAUGAAGAUAAAUAGAAGAAGGGAUGACAGGCAAAGUUAAAGUGACAAAAAAAUACAAAACGGGCUGCGACCUAAAUCAGGGCAUCCAUUCCACCUCGACUGAUUACUUCACAGCCGGAGCUGAGCCGGCAUUAAAGCAACCCUCUGUGUUUUUGAUGACUGAGUCCCAGGGAGCUGUGUUUUGAUAAGCAGGUCCUUGUGCCGUUUGUGCCACUCGCUCUGCUAGCAUGCACAAGAGGACCAUUCCAGUAUUUUAAAUGGGCAACCCAUUUUCCACAUCAAAGUCUGUUUACAGGUCUUGGAAAGCCCUAACCACUUAUGUGAAAAGGGGGUUUUUGAAGGGUUUGUGGUUCCAGUGGGAGCAGAGCAAAGUCUGAUAAACUGUUUGGGACUGAAGACUACAAGUUAAAAAAAUAAGUAAAAUCUGGGCGUGGAUGUGGAGUGGGGCCUGAAUUUGAGACAACAUUAGUUCCUACUUGCACAAAACACUAAAUGUUUUGUUGCAAUUACUUGUUUAUUUGUUUAACCUUUGUUUAACCAGGCUAGUCCCAUUGAGAUCAAAAAUCUAUUUUUCAAGGGGGGCAUUGUGGGUAAUAUAAGAUCAUAAAUGCAAUUUAUAAUUCAGCGACCAGUUCUGCUGGACACAGGAAAAAUGUUAAGUAUUGGGGCACCCUCAUUAUUUUCAGUACCAAACACGACAAUGACUUUGUUUAGUUUGGCAGUACUUAACUGGAUAACAGCCGAUUGUGUUUAGUGUUUAGAUGAUCCUGUAGAAAAUCCUCAAUUUGUUAUAAAUAAGCUUUGGGUGAGAAGUUAGGCUACAUUCAUACUGUAGGUUAUGAUGCACAAUUCGGAUUUUUUGUUAAAUCCGAUCUUUUUGUGCAGUUGUUCACAUUACAACAACGAAUGCGGUAUCUAAUGUGAACGGAAUGUGCCCGCAUGUGCACAAAGCACAAAUUGCUUUCCACGCCUGUUUGUGUUAUCAAACAAUGUUGACGUUUGUCGCAUAUUGAUAAUGUAUAGGUCGGUGUCCACACUGCAGUAACAUCGGAUACAUAUCCGAUUUAUAUCCACGUACAAAAGAGGCCUGGGUCGAAUUUGAAAAACUCAGAAUUGCACUGUUCACGCUUACAUGAAAAAAACAGAUAUGUGUCACAUAUGGUUAAAAAAUCGGAAUUGACCUGCAGUGUGAACAUAGCCUUAGUGUUUUUCGCAUUAAGCCAAGCUUGGUUGUUAUACAAAAGAAGAGGACCCAAUACUGUCCCCUGUGGCACACCCCAUUGUUGAGAGGCUGAUUGUAUGGGGCAAAUCAAGAGCAGGAUCAGUCCAAAGGUGAAUUACCAUGCUUCCGCCUGAAAAUAUCCUGAUUUUAAUGAGCAAAUUUUGUACAAAUGAUACUUUUUAUUAAACAUUAGCAUUGGUUUCUAAUAUUAUUUUUGAAGACAGGUGGGUGUAGAGCUGUUCUUGGUAUUGUACUAUUAAAAGUAAGGCCUCAUCGUGUCUCGAAUGUGUUUUACCCAGUGACAGAUGACAGUUUGUUUACAAGAAAACGCCACAGGAAACUUUAAGUUAACAAAGUUAAUAAACCCUACAGAAACCCUGCUGGGCCAGUCACUGCAGACUCAGCGUGAAGCCAAACACUGUUCAAACUCUCAGAACUUUGAUGCCGUGGUCCCAAACACUACAAAGUUUGUCAGGUUGGCAUAAUUCGGGGGGGAAAAGUGUGAAAGGAUUCGCACACAACAUGAAGGAAAAUUCCAGCCGAGGGAAUGGCACAGCCAAAAAAAAAAAAUACAGAGUCUUGUGUUUGAACAUGUUUCUCUGAGUUAAGAAUACGGAGCCUCGAUGAUUAGGCUGGAAAAAUCUAACAGGGAGUAUGUUUGUUUCUGCCAGCCACAGUUAAAACAAUCUUUCUCUAUCCAGCAAGUUAUAAAUCAGUCCUUUAUUUGAUGCUUCUUGUCCUGUUUGCUGCAUUUAAACAUCAUAGCAUGUAGGUACUGGGUGCAAAGAAGACCUGUCAGUCAUCUACAUAUUUGGUUUUUUAAUAAAGCUUGAGUAGGAGUUGCUCUUUUCAUUGUUCAUUGUUCCCUUUUCUUUUCUCUUCUCAUGCUAAUUACCCAGCUCUCCUGCCAAUACCAGAAAUAUAAAGCGCACAUAUGCCAGAGAAUGCAAGCCAAACAAUGGAGGGCUGAUGCAAAUGUAGGCAAAAUUAAAACCCCUGUGAGUGUUAAAAUAAGACUCUCAUUUGUUUUUACAAUAAGAGAUAAGAACUUAUUUACAGGAAACUUGUUUUGAUAUCAUCUAGAAACAGCUCUUGAUGUAGAUAAUCAAAUACAAGCACGUAUUUUAACUUGUUUUACCGUCAACACUGUCCAGAUAGGAAUGUAACGCAGUAUGAGACCGCUGGGAUACAGUGCGGGAUACCACAAGGUUCCAUUCUGGGGCCACUGUAGUGUCAUCUACAUUAACAAUCUUGUGUCAAACACUAUAUGUAAAUAGUAUUUGCUGGUUACAAAGAUUUACUAAUUGCAUAAACUGGCAUCAUAUAGUAUAGUUUUGAAUUAUUUAUCAACACAUUUGUGUGAGUCAAUUUUUUACUGCAAAAUUUAUCAUUUUUUUGUAUUUCUUUUUUUUUUUUUUACCUUGGUACCUUUCCUCAUAUUUUGUUCACUUUUUUUGUAUAUUUCUUUUAAUAGUGUACAAAUAAGUCAACUAAAACCAGUUCCCAGUAGAACUAUUUGCUCCUCUUAUUGUGAUGUUUCCAGUUGUUCUUGUUGUUCAUACAGUAAACUGCUCUGAUUUCAUCCUAAGCUUUGGGUUUGCAGAAAGCGUUCAGAAAAAUUGGUGUUACCAACUUGAAAACCAGAGGCCUUUCCGGGGGAGAAAAGCAAGCAAUCUUAAAGUGAGCAGAAAAUGGGAAAUCAAUGAUAGCAAUAGCUCAAGCACCGGCCAAAGCCAGUACAACUAUGCCCCAAAGAAGAAAGAAACCACCGGCGUGCCUGGAAACACUUGUUAAACCAGAGGACCGGAACAGCAGACAAAGCUGCAGGUGUGAAGAAAAUCCUUUAACAACCAUUUGUGGCACUAGCAACAACUUUCACAGGGGAGGGAUAAAAGGUCAUUUUCAAAAGAAAUGUUCAUUUAUAAGAAAUACAAACAGGUAAACCAAUUCAGAGUUUACCAAAAAAGGAUAAAUGAUAAGGCUCAAGAGUUUUAAGACAAGCCUUGAUGAAUUGUGAGGAAAAAAAAAAAGAUUGUUUGGUCAAAGUGUUGGGAAAACUAAUACGUAUGAAAGAUUGGACAAUCCCAAGGACAAAAGCUCAUCGGAGCAAUGGUAAAGCCUUUGCUUUGACCGAACUGCAAAAUUAAACCAGAGCUCAUCAGAGUGUUUAAAUGAAAGUCUCAAGACUGGCCAAGCCAAUUUUAAGAUGUCAGCCUUAUCAAGCCUUUUAGAUGCUCAAAGGUGGACUGAAGGGAAUAAAACCCUGCAAUCAAUGCUAACUACCGCGAUGACCUCCUGGAAACCAUCAUUAGAGAAGAACUUAAUGAAAGAAGAGGAUUUGUAGUCUUUAUCGAGUGGCGUUUCAAAGCCGGGAUGGGUAAUUCUGGGGGUAACCAGACAGAGAAAGUUUCAGAAAAAGUCAACAAGAAGAUGUGGAAGUUUUACAUUGGAUCAUCACCAUCACUUAUCCCACUCAGUCAGUGGAUUAACAGGCGACCCUUUGCCAUUCUAAUGUUCUUCUUGGAAAUCAUGGAUGCCAAGUCAUCCAGGCUACAAAAGAGAGGGACCACCAAGCUUAACAUGAGCAGGAUGGAACGAUAUCUCACUUUUAAUACUCUAUAAACUGUUUGCCAUGGUUCUAAAAUGUUUGCAGUGUUGCUAAAAGAAGAGGUGAUGCAACUCAGAAAUAAACAUGCUCUUCUUUGAACUAUUUUCAAUCAAAUAUAGAGUUAAAAUGACAUGCAAACCAUCAAGUUCUUUUUUUUUAAUUAGCGUCUGAACUUUCUUGGAGUUGGGGUUGAAGUCACAGAAGCGAUAGUUAGUUCCAACUCAUAUCCCUCUUUAUGUUUCAUUAAUCUACCCCCUAUCCCUUCAAUAAUCUCAAAGAAGGAGUGUUCACAGAGUCUCGCCUGCUGUUCACUGUUUCCUGCUGUAUCUCCUGUUCCUCCUCCUCGCUACAGGUCAUAUGGAUUCCUGCCAGUGUUUGAGGACAGCCGCUUUUGUCAAAAUUUGUGGAUGUAAACAACUCAAUGGGCUGACAAGAACUCAGCUCUGUACAAUAACAGUGCUCUGUUCCCCUGCGGCUGUGUUUGCUUUCAUGUUUGUAUCUUAUAAGUGUGUCUGCUCUUAGCUAAGGGAAAAAAAAAAAAACGGAGAAGUGAUUUUGCUUCCAGCGCUGGUCCCACAGUUCUCUUGAACUUCAAAGGACUGCGAGGGAAACUUUCCUACAUCUUGAUGCUGCAUUCACCCCUGUGCCACAAUCAGGAAGCUUCCAUCUAUCUCCAUCUGCGGGUACUCACUGAUACAGACCUGGAAUGUAAAAAGAUUUCUCUUGGAGAUGAGUCAAGUAAGGUUUUUCUUACAGCUCUCCUUCCACUUUGCUGAAAUUAGAAUCCCUUCUUCGCCCGGGGCGGUAAAAACCAACAUGUGCCACAUUGUAAUGUCAUUCAUUGCAUGGUUGUAUUUAAAUCAGAUCAAGUCUGUGCAAAUUUGGAGUAUGCUUGCCCAUGAGGGUGGGGGGGUUCUCACCACAGGCCAUGCUGAUUGGACCGACUAAUCAAAAAGAUACAAUUGUACCGAAUGAUGAAAUGCAAACCCGAGAUGCCGGCUCCUUUUGAUAUUUGCAUUUUUCCAUUUAAGCCCCUUCUCGGCAAGACACUGUCACCUCAUUCAAGAGCCGCAGCUUCUCAGAAAUACAGUUCAUUUUGGAAGUGAUGUAUGAUUAGCUCUGCCAGCCACAAUCCUAAUUGAAAUGAGUCCCGGCUGUGCAGGCAGGGGGGGAGCGGGGCAGGGAUAGACAGCUGUGCUCGUUUGAAUUGGUCGGAAUCAGUUGUUCGUCCAAUUUCACUGUAAGGACUAAUGAAUUACAAGCUGCGCUGAUAAGGUCAUGUGGGGUGAAAUUUGACUAACAUUAACAUUUAUUACAGGUGCAGAUAAAAAAAACUCACGUCUUGAAAGAAACAAAUUCCUUUUUCUCCCAUAAAGUCCAACUUUCAUACAUUAGGACAUAGUGGAAAAAUCCAGAUUCUUGUCCUGAAAAGAGCUCUAAUCAGCGGAUGAACUCUGAACACCUGCAAAGUCUUUAUUCUCAUAGUUCUUCGAGCAUGCUUGUAUUUGCUUCCGAGGUACUAUAGUCCCUUUCUGUUCAAAACAAGCAUUCAAAACUACACAGAAUCCAGUUCAUUUACACCUCAAUGCAAACCCGACUGUUCCUUUUCCAUGUCACUAUUCAAUAUUAUUCAUUCCCCAUGACUCAUACCACCACUGUACUUGUGUUUUUGGUGCUGCAUCAACAUCUGAAAACAGCUCCAAACCAGAAGUGCUUACAGUGACAGGAGUGCAGGAGUGUCACAAUGUACAAUCUACACUACAGCAGCUUCUGAAGUGAUGGGAAUGCAUGCAAAAAGGAGUCUCAAGGCAAUUUUUUUCUCUCUCUCACCUCUCAAGUGGCAGUACAAGGAAUUCAUCCUUAUCUCCCGUCAAGAAAAAUAUAAAAAAUCCCCUUUUCCUUUCUGCCCAUUGCACACAAGUGUGGAAUAAGAAGCUUGCUGGGCCUUUUUUUUCCUGCAAAGUUCUGCACGCUGACUGAUGCGUAGGCUCUGCACAGCAUCAGAUUACUGGAUUUAGCGAACGGUUUUGAUUGCAUAGCAUGGUAUUCAGCUUGGAUGUUCUUUGACGACACAUCAUAAAUGGUUUUAAAUAGAGCAAGGACAUUAUAUUAAAUAUCAUAAACUGAAAAAUUUCAUUAAGUUAUGAAGGAUAUUCAUGUAUUUUUGAUUUGAUGUCAAUAACACGUUUUAAAAGUUUUCAAAAACCACCUAGAGCAGACCUGGGCAUUUUACGGCCCUUUGGAUGUCCCUGCCUGGCCCUUCGUGAGGUGCGUCAAUCAAAUCAUCAACAGACUAUAAAAGUGUGUCGCUUUUAUUUUGAAAACCUAGCUGUUGUUUUAUUUCUGUUUGGAUUCACGUGCGUACAUCCUAGAGACAAGUUUAAACAUUGGCAAAAUAUUCAUAGACGCCUUAAGGUCCUUUCACAUCAGCAACGUUUUCCUGUCCUGCGAUUUUGCGGCAUUUAUUUUUUCGGAUCAUGGUUGAUUUUUUCUAAAAUUUCGCAUACUCUGUGUCCACUUCUGACCAAUCAGAUUUCGUGUUGUUGCGAUGUCAGAUUCACUGGUAUAUCCAACAUGGCUGACCGGCUGAUUGUUUGUGAUCGUUUACACAAACAUUACAAAGAUAACGACCUGAAGAACAACUUGUGGAGAGUCAUAGAGAGUCAAGAACUUCAAAUUGUCCAACGGACAUCCGAAAUAGGUUCUGAAGCGACCAUGGUACAGUUUAGCUCCUGAACCAAGCAGUCAAACUCACGAAGCUCUCUUCUUUUUUUUAAAAUAUUGAAUGCACCCAUGUGCUACAUAUCUUUUUCUUUUGAGAAAGCAAAAGUAGUACCAAUUCGCCAUCACUUGAAGUUCAAGUAGACUCUAUUUUUGUCUUCUGGCUUCCAUCCGGGGGAUGGAAAGGGAAGGUCCCACCCACCUUCGCCUCUGAUUGUCUAUAAGUGUUGACCGUUUGGCUUGAGCGUGUGAUGAUGUUUCCAGCUUUUCUAGCCAAUCAGAGGCGAAGGAGGCGGGACUUUCCCCUGGAAAAGUCUUCCCUGGGAUGCGUCUUUUUCCCCUGGAAAGUCGCAAAAUCGCAUCGGGCUUGAUGUGUAUAAUCAGGUGCGUAUAUUCCGAGAUUUCGCGUUCUAUAUUCGUGUUGGCCCCAGUGUGUAAGGACCUUUAGAGUUGCCAAGUCCGCCUAUUAUAAAAGACUUUAAGUUUGUUUUUCUCAGAAGUCGCUUGUAAAACUCGUAAGUCGUGGGUGCUCUUCUUUUUGGGCUUGUUUUUAACUAGUAGUUGCUUCUCUGUAUGUGUGAACCCCCACUGAUUUGAAGUUGAAGUAUUGUUGGUUCAGCCCUCCAACACAAAUAAGGUUUCUCAUGUGGCCCCAUGUAAAAAUUAGUUGCCCACCCCUGACCUAGAGGAACAUCUCUCAACUGAUUAUGCUAAUCUGCAACAAGUUAGCAGGGUUGAGCCUGCUGGAACUGGGGGGAUUUAAUAACAUCACCAUCUAUGUACUGCAUAUACAUACACUGCAUCCAAAAUAGACAUGGCUCUGUAGUGGAACUCACCGCAUAGGCCCAAAAUCACCUCCAAAAGCUACAUCCUUUGAAAAAACGAAAGCUACAACUCCUACUGUGCUUAGAUUGAACUCUAAAUUUACAUGACAAAGUACCAACAUUUUACACAGUGCCCUAACUGUGGUGGAAUUCCCCCCUUUCUCUCUGCCUGUGUGGAAUAAGAGGCUUGUUGUGUCUGUUUCCUGCAGAGCUCCGCACACUGACUGAUGCAUAGCCUCAGCAAAGAAUCAGAGCACUGAUUUGGGUUGAUGUUUCAUUGCAGGGAACUAAAUACAGGUUAGUGAUAUGAAAGAUUGCUCUGUUAGUGACGCCAUUGGCCGCGGGAGUACACACUUGUUGCAGAGGUAAUAAUGAAGAUGCAGACGUGACAGCCAUUUCAAACUGAUUUGCAUUUUUUUUUUUGUCUUUGUUUACUGCUACCAGCAUCUAAUUAUUAUUCACAGAGGGGGACAACAAUGUGUCAUCUUCUAUUUGUGGGAUUGGGGCGAAAUGACUUGAAAUGCACAUGUUUCUCACAUGGAAAAGAGUUGCCGAAGGCCCAAACAGUAUUACUCUCGCUUUAUUUUGAUUGCACUUCAUUAAAACAGCUUUAGAAAGAGUGCGCCUCAAAGACUCACCGCCAUAAGACAAAGCUGUAAUUGAAAUUAGAGGUAACAGAGGACUGUAGGUGCGUGCCAGGAAAGUAGAAUACCGUGAAGAAGCAAGUUUCAUACAGAUAGACUGCCUUAUAAUCUAUAUUCAUCAUGUAAAGUGAGUAUUUCAAGUCUUGUUUGGCUUGUUUUGAUUUGAUUUUGAUGUUUUUGGAUUUCAGCUCGUGAAAACCAGGAAGCUGGGAUUAUAAAUGGCCACGGGUGGUACUGGAUUGGCUUUUGUGAUCAAUAUACACUCAUUUGGACCAAACUAAAUCAAGACCUUGAGAAAGUUGAUGCUUCUGGGUCCAGUGUUUCCUAUCCACCACUUUAAAGUACCCGUUAAGUUCUCUAUUGGGUUCAGGCCAGGCUAUUUGGACAAACCAUUUGGUGGUAGUUUUGGCACUGCAGGCAGGACAUAAAGGACACUGACACCUCCAUAAAACUUUCCAGCGGAUGGAAGCAUAAAGUACUCCGAAAUCGAUUGGUAGAUUUGCUGCGUUGACUCCUAAGAGUCCACUUGCAGCUGCCAGAAUUCCUUUUGUUUGUGCUUGUGUACCCGGUCCGACUAAACUUUUCUAUGAAUGUGCCUCGGUGUGAACAACCAGCCUUCUCAGUUGAGUGUUAUUUGUAUAAAUUUAAUAGGCAAUGGAAAAUAAUCAACCCGUUCUGUCUUAAUGUGACUCAGCCACGGAUAUUCAUCUCUUUUCUGACUCUACAUAGCGCUUCCAAAAGGAACAUCUGAGCUACCUUCACUUUAAGUACGAUACGUCUUUGCUCUUUCGUCCUUGCAUGUGUCUCCAUUUCAUCUUUCUGCUCUCUUUGCUGUUUCCUGUCUGUAAGAAGAAAAAAAAAAAAAAAGGUUUUCAAAAACUUUUGAACCCACUUGAAAGUACGAACCACAAGGUUGGCCUUUUCAUGUGUCAUUUUUCUUUCAUUUUCAAACUGCGAUAUUGAAGAGAAAACAUCCAAAUUAGAUCAAAAAUCGUACUUUUGCUGUGGUCUGCACUGUGCAAAAUGCAAAUAUGAUCAUUCUGAGUUAAAUGUGGAACAUCAAAGUCCAGCAUAAAUUUGAUGCUGCAAACAGCAUAAGAAAUAACUGCAUACAUUUUUGUAUUAUACAGCUGCUGAACUGCAGAAUCCACUUGUACUUGAAGCGUGUGCUUCUCUAAGCAAUUAGCUGCACAUACUGCACCGUCAGAUCGAGACAAAAACACAUUUUGGUCCCAAUCUGAUCCACCCAGAGCUGUUUCAACUUUAGUUCAAGGGCUUUACGUUUGAUGAGGAGGGUAUUCAGUAUUCUUUUAAGACCCCAAAGGAUCCUUCACUUCUGAUCUCUGCGUUAUGCUUGCUCUGCCACUUUUGAAGCUACAAAAAGAUGAUAGUUGAUGGAUUUUUCUGAGGACCUUCGUGAGCUGCGGAGGUCCAGGUGAGCAGCUGGAGAGAUCACCACACGGUGCAAGGUUUCACUGUCGCCCUAAGGUACACAGGUGGCGGCCCAUUGUUGUCUUUGUGUUCCCAUCAAGGCCUCGAACCAGGACCGGUCAUGAGCAGUGUCACGCAAAUAUUUGGACAAGUCAAAGACAUGGACUUGACACUUUCAAUGGGUGUCUAAUAAGUGGUAACCCGAGAGUUGAAAAAGCAAACUGCAGUUCCUCAAGCAGCCACUAGAGGUUGGAUGAAACACCAAGGAAUCUCCAUUGGGUCCCACAUUGAAAUGCCUUGAUUUGAGUAUUCAAAGAGCUCUGUUGGUCCAAGUCUAGCAAUACCAGAAACCCUGAAAAGUUUACUCUGUGACACAAUAAACUAAUACAUUUAUUUAAAUUUAAAUAACAAGGUUACAAGGUAGAAGGAAAAAAAGACAAAAGUCAGGCAUACAAUCACCAAUGAUUAAAACAGGAAUUAAAACAAAACCGUGAUGAUUUAAGAACAUAAGGGAUCAAAAGAUAAAGGUCUAAAAAAGAGAUGAAUGACAGAAAUGAGAGGCAAAGUAAAAUAAAAAAAAAGGUCUAAGCCGUCAACAAAUAAAACAAUUUACCAAGUUACAAAGACUGAGACAAACACCAACAGAUAAAAGAAAAUGAAAAAAUAAUGGGAAAAAAAGCAUCCAAAAGAUAAAAAAACAUCUUAAGAUCUUGUCUGUAAUUGGAGCAUAUAGGAACAGAGAUCUGAAACACACUCCUGCAAAAACAUAUCCAUGUUUUCAAAAGGAGUUUAAAGGUGAUAAAGAUGUUAUCAGGAAAAAUACAUUAUGUAUUUUGGGUUGGGGAUUGCAUUAAUACUGUCUGAUACAUUUUUAUAUCUGGUCCUGGACUGAAUUUCAACCAGUUGAUAAGCUUCAUCGACUGGCAUGGUUUGGUGGCCAAAAAAAGGCUCAGACAGUUUUGUUACUGGUUUCCAUCAUGGCUCUGUGAUGGUUAAUUUCAUAUGGAUGGGCCCAUGCUGGUGCACAUUUGGAGCCAAUCCACACAGACCAUUACUGGCAUUGGAUUUCCGGAAUCCCCAUUUUUAAGCAAUGUAUUGUAUAUGCUUUGGAUUUCCCCAAUGGGCUCCAACACCAAUCCCCCCAAAGCCAGCUCUGGGCCCAUGCUGAGUUGGAGGCAAACCAAAUAAGGUAAGCCUAUAUGAGGCUGGGAUAUUCCCUUAAUACAUGCUACCAAUAGACUGCAGUUUCUAAUCCCUGGCAUGGUGUGGGCCUUGUUUAAAUGUCAACACACAGGGAACUGUCGCCAUGGUGGAUUGUUAGUUUUGCCUCCGGCAUGGCAAGCAGGUUGAAGAAAAACAGGGACAAACAAAACUGGAUUAGUUUAGCCAACAGUAAUUAGUUUGACUUUGUUGAGAGCACAAAGUGUCGUCUUGAGAGACUGAUCUGGUGCAGCCGUUGAUUUAUGGGACUACAACUUAAGUACAGCUUUGCAUCCUGACAUGGUUGCGUGCCUUUAUCGUCACUCUACUCAAAGUUUACUCUGUGAAACUGGUCCGAUAAAUGUCAUCUGCGAACUUUCCCAGGACUUAUGGAUCCAACUGCUGUCACCUUGGGCUUGUACACUUUGAUAUAUGCCUUCAAUCAACAGUGCCGCCUUUUUUGCUCAUCAGUCUAAGCCUCUGGAUGAUCAGGUUUUCCAAAUUGGGUGGUGGCCACAUGACAAAACACUCAUGCAAGUGUGUCAAUUCAGAACUGAAUGUUAUCAUUAUGACACAAAUCUGUCGCAACCCAGCAGUUCUCCUAGUUUGCAUGAACCAACAAGUCCAGGUGUGUUUUCUGUUCUCAUUCCAGUCAAAAGUUUCUGCUCAUGUAUGUCUGUUAGAUUCAGGCAAUCCAAGCAAAUAACCUUUCGCCUUUACCCUCAGGGGAACCAGAUUACCUGGGUCCACUGUGUAAGAUUUUCUUGAAAUCUAGUCGUCUCCACUGGAGUAUGCGAGCUGAAAUGAUGCAGGCUGAAACAAUUCUUGCAUUAUUACCAUUCCGAGGCUCCAUCUUGGGGAAAAUAUGAAAUAUUCUUGCAUGGUGCAUUCAAUAACACACACUGCCCAUGGCUCAUUUUUAGCAGGGAACAUUUCCCCAAAUGUAUACCCAUAAAUCUGACUCUCAAGGUCCGGUCUCUACUUCUUUUUUUGGCUGUAAUCACCACAGUAAGUGGAUUUGAUGGCAGAGACUGAGUACAUUAGUGCCAGGCUUUCACAAAAAGUUUAACUCUGACACACACAUUUGUGGCAUUGACUUUAAACCAUCUUGACAGCGCUGAUAAGACCGUCAAAAAUGGUGGGAGCUAUCAUUUUAGCUGUGCUGCAUGGGAAUGCACAUGUGAAUUCAGCUGUGGCAUUUUUGCAAGUCAAGUGUGGAGUGAGUGAAGCCUCGAAAAGACACUUGCAUACAGGGAUCCCACAGCCAUCAUUCACAUGCGGGGAUAACGUCUCUAAAUCUUUACCAUAAAUGAAUAAGCUACUUUCAUUACACAACCCGCAGGAACUUUUGUGUCCCUGCCAUUUAAGCUGACAUUUAAUCAAUGUAGCCUGCAUUGAUUAAAUAUAUGUAGAUUAUAAAGACCUGAUUCUAACAGAAAUGGUAGGAUGCAUUUGAACCAGUUUCUGGAGUUUUGGAAGUCAGCUGCUGUACCAUUCUUGCCUGAUCCAGGAUUUCAGCAGGAUUUGAGUUAGUCCAGAUAAGCACCCAGGCUCUUCCACAAUGGAAUGAAGCUGAAUAUCUUGCUGAAAUGUGUAAACUCAUCCAUUUAAAAAGAAAAAAUAUAUAUAUCUUUUUUUUUUUUCUCUCUUAAGUAAUUUUAAGCCCAUGCAGUGAUUUCCACCACAAAUUUAAGUAUAUGUAGUAUUUGUUGUAUAUCCUUUUAUUUCCUCUGAAUCUUUUAACCAUAUAAUGAACUUAAAUGAUGAAAUCCCACAAGACUUUGCAUUGUUAUUCUGCAGUUCUUGAAAGAAAAUCUCCCUGCUUAUAAUGAUAACAAAUUUAAAGUGUUUCUUAAAGGAUUACAUCACUUUUUUUUUUAAACAUAUCUUUUUUCAUAUUUUUAGAGUUUCUAACAUUCAAUUUAUUACAUUUGAGGUAUUUCCAAUGACACGGAUAUAAAUUAAAAAGAUUUUAAACUAUAGAAGAUGCAUUAAAGCUUCUGUGAGGACUUUUUCUUUGCUGUCUAUUUUGCGUGAACUUUCUCUCCUAUGUACAGUAUAUGUUGUGAGUGGCUCCUAAAAAGCAAGUCCCACAUUCAAAUGUGCCACGUAUCGAGGCAUUUUUUUGCUGCUCAAUAGGAAAAGAGCUGUGUAACCCUAGAACACCAUCACUAUCGUCGGGUGUAAUUAACCGAAAUAAUUCAAAAGUACUUAUCAAAAUUAUAUCAAAAUAGGACAAUACAUGACAAAUUAAAGUAAUUUUCUUUUAUUUUUAACUGUGCAAUGUCCAAAGGGAGGAAAAAAAGUGCCAUACCAUGUAAAAAUGCAACAAAAUAACUGAAAUUAGGCAUUCAUGAACAAAAAAUUCCUAAAGAAAAAAAAAAAAAAUAUAUAUAUAUAUUUAUAGAAACUGUAAACUUAGUUUCCUUUCCACCCAUUUCUGAGGCAUGUGAGUCUUCCCUGUUGAAGACUCAGGGUCCUUGGCACAAUAACAACUGCAGGAGAGAGAACCAAAAUAUGGCAUAUUUUCAGUGAGUAAAAAUGAAAUAUUUCUUAUCACCAUAUGAAUUCCCUUGAACAUCACUAUUUUCUGAUAGUUAUUCAUAACCACUGCACUAAAAAAAGAUAGCAUGCAAAUUCCAGGACCACUCUUACUGACCUUAUUCCCUACAUGCAGCUAAAACACGAAAUCAGCUCAAUACACUAUUACCUCAGCUAUGUGUUACUCAGUAGCUGAGACGCCAGAGACAUCAACCCUGCAAUAGAAUCACAGCUGUAGUCGAAGAAGGGAGGGUAAAUAUGGCAGUCCUGAAUGUUGUCAGAAAUGCAGCAAGAACACCUGCAUUUAUACACUUAACAGUAUUUCCAGGUAAAAUCCACCCAAACCUACUUUACCCUCUAUCACUAUUGCCGGGUGAAAAUCACCAAAACAUGUGCAUGUAGGAAAAAGUGGGUUUUGGAUCAGGGAAACAAAUUUGCCUACAAAGAUGUGAAAGGCAAUGCUGAAACUACCCAGAGACCCAUGAUACUCAGACAAACGCAACAGAAUGAAAAUCACGUAAACAUGUUUGGUCGGGUGAAAAUCACCCGGCGAUAGUGCUCUAGAGAUAAACAGUGUGCAGGUUUCCACUUGGUCUGACACCUACCCCCGCCAGUGGUCCCAGAUAUUAAAAAUCUUAACAUAGAAACAGCAAGUCUUCUUGCGAAUGGUCUUGUUUGCCUUUUGGGGUCAGAAAAAGGCAACAAUAUCAAUUUCAGUCUUUUUCAUGAUUGUAUAAAAACUCCCUACAGGAGCCUACAGGAGCACGGUGUCGUAUUCUUGGAGUUGGCGCGGUCCCUAUCGUGGAGUAGUAGGGCCCAAUGAGGGAUUCUAUUCACGGGGCCCUAAAUCCCUGGCAGCACCCCUGCUCGCACAUGGUUGGCAGCACAAGUGGACACCAAACAAUAGCUGUAUAUUUCCUGCAUUCAGAUAGAAAGUCGUGACUGCAUGAAUUCCUGCGGAACUGAUGCAGACUUUUGCUAAAGGAAGGUGUUGGAAUAUGUAAACUUAUCUCAGAGUAUCUUUACUGAUCCCAGGGGGGGGAAUGUGAGCUCCAAGCAAAAAUAAAAGUUCUUGCAUUUACAAUAGCACUUUCUGCAGACGGGGAUAGUUUGUAAGAAGAGGAGUUAAUGUAUCUCCUUUUUUUUUUAUGAUCGUCAUACAUAUUCAAGAGAACCACCUACAGUAUCGCACUUUGUAUGAGUUUAUGCAAAUGACAGCUCAAGUCAAAAUUACCGGCCUCCACUUAGUCUGUCUCUUUUGCUCUCUCCAGCAGCAUCUUCGCCUGCUCAGCUACUGUUGUGGUGCUUGCUGAACAAAAAAAAAAAAGAACCAUGUCGUUUGAGAAACAAUGUUGCUGUGCUGCAAGCUGGGAAAAAAAGCUUGUCUAGCAACUUGUUUUCCACAGAGAUGAUGAUGUGUGCACAUGCAAGAAAACACCACUGAUGUAUUGUGCAUAUAAAAAGAAAACAGUAUUUUACUGUAUUUGCAGAAUUUAACCGUUUUUAUUAAUUAUUCAGAUGGACUCGAUUUCAACCUCGCUCUUUCUGCUGCCAGCUGAUGAAUAACAGUAAAAUAAAGCAAUGGAGUUCAGCAAAGGGACAUUACAUUAUCUCUGUUUUCCACUUUAUAUCCACCUCAAUUUUCUUUCUUCACAUUCUUAUCCAUUGGGAGAAGCAGCAGAAUCAUUACCCCACUGCUUCCCCAUUUGCCAGCAAUGCAACCACAGGUCCAAAUAUCCAAUCCAGUCCUCUUUAUUUUCUUCCCUCUACACAAUUUAACAGCAGAUAAGAGCCUGUGCUUUAUGUCUAGAUCCACACAUACCUCUAAUUGCCAGUGCCUGUCCUUUCUACUAAGUCAUUAGUACCAUAAUGCGCUGUGAAGUCUAUCUCUGGCCCAGAAUGCUGCGCUCAGCUCGCUGUGGUUGGCCGUGCCAACAGGAAUAUAAGAACAAGUCUGAGUUAGGGAGGAUAAUAUAUAAAACAUAUCCACAUGUGGCUUGUCUUGUGGUAUUUUUGGAACAGAUAGAUAGUAUUGUGACUCAAUUUGGAGCGUAUUGGUCUUUUGCACCUUAAUCUGAAUUGAAUAUGGGAUUUUAAUCAAAACGGCGUGGGGAAAAUGAGUUGAUUUGACAGUUUUCGUCACCAAUAAAGAAGCACCAACAGGAGAGCUGCCAAACUGAGAAGAAAUGGAUAUAAAACAUCUGGAGUUCUCGCAAUGACUGAAAGAAAGACAUCUAUAAACAUGCUAAUAUGAACUGCUCACACAACAGAAAAGUGAGACUUGAACAGAGAAAGCUGAGGCCAAAAAAAGAGAGGAAAAAACUAAUUGGGACUAUUUUUUACCCAAAACAAGCCAACAUAUGUUGUUGUCCUAAACUGCUACACAUAGCAUAUUUAAUCGCACCAAUAAACCGCACAUAUUUAGCGAUAAAUUAGCUUAAUGAGGCGGUCAAUGCUGUAUGUGAAGGCUGUAACCCGACAAAAGGAGUCGUCCCUGUGAGCUAGUGCAGCAUUUUAUGGCUUUAAGCUUAUUUCAUAGCCCAUCUGUCGUGCUACUUUACUGUACCUGACACCCCUGGUGACUGAGUUAUCAAAAAAAAAGAAACUAUUGUUUGCUUCUUUAUGUUCACAUCCCAUACUCCGAGUUUCUACAGCGCCUGCACAAAAAAAAGAAAGGUUUAGACGUAUAUUCUCAAUAGCCCUUGACUUCACCCAAGGCCCUUAAUUUUCAACAUACUGGAGUGGGAGUUGAGGAGGUGUUAAAUAACUGUUUAAAAGCAAAAUAGGAGAUGGGUUAAAAUACAAAAAGAGGUCUAAAGGUGGUUAAUGGAAAGCUUGAGUUCAACUUAGAAGUAUGUCCAAGUUAAGUGGGAUGCUGUAUAGAUUUACAAGAGUGCAACAACCUUGUUCAAGUUCACCCGAGGUGAAAAUAACUGCAUUAGCCACGGUUUGAGGCUAAUCUAAACACAACCAGGGGAUUAAUCUCUGCCAAAACAACACUUGGAUGUGUUUUUUUGUUUAUUUGGUCCAGUUUAAAACAAAGCGAUCUCUUGGGUCAGUGUUUCUUUUCCGCUUUUCUCGACUGACCGAGUGCCAUUUCACCCCGGGUCUUUUUUUUUAUCCGCUGUUACACAUUCCUUCUUAAAUUGAUACAAACCCUUCAAGGAUGUGAUUCUGAGCAGAUUGAGUCACCUGAUUCAGACUUUUUAAUGACCUAAAAUUACGAACUGCCGCGAAAUUGUUAUGCUUAAUGGUAAUUCAAUCACAAACAGUUGACUCGCAAGCAGAAAUGCGCUUCCUAAUUUAACUUUUGGGCUGUAGUAGAAUUGCCUCGUGAUUCUCAAAAAGAAGAUGAGAGGAUUCGCAGAAACGUACAUGAAGCCCAGAGUGUUGUGCAUGAACAGGCAGGAGAAAGUUAACAGGGGAGGUAUUAUGGGAGCAAGCUAAAGGUAGUCUUUUAGGCUGUUAGCUCAUGCAGAGAGGAUUCAUCUCAAAUGGCGAAUAAGAGGCAGACGAAACAGUCAUUUGUUCCGGGCCUAAUUGGGCUCCAUUUUAAAAUCUGCCGCAAUAAUGGCUUUAAAAGAAAGAACAGCAUCAAAUCAGCGCUGUAAUACCGGUGAAAAAGAAAUGUCCAGCAGCUCUUGCAGCGAGGCAGUACAAUAAAACACAAGAUGAUGAUUUCCAGUUGGAAUAUCACAUCCAUAAUAAUCAUUACAGCUAUUAUAUCAGUGGGGUGCUUUGGUGUGUGGCUGCAUAUGACCAAAAUGCACAUGGCGCUUAACAAGCCCACAUAAUUACUGGGUAACAGCAGUCUAAUGGUUGAGAUACAAUGUUUGGUCAUGGCUGUCUGGGUUUUUCCUCCAGUUUCUAGGAUGAAAACAAUGAGAAAUCAAUGGUUUGUUUAGUAAGGCUGUCAGAAUGGCUCUUCAGACGGCUGUGUUAGCUUAGAGUCUCAUAGCGUAAACCAUUCGGUCCACACCUCAAUACUUCCUUGGAUCCUGUACAGAUUGAGGCAAGUCAAAGUUUUUCACACGAAAUCCAAACUGUGCAAAAUUUGUUCAUGUAAGCAUGACUAUUUAAAGGGAUAUUCCACUGUAAAAUUAAGUUAGGGUCAAACACACCGUAACACAGAGUUAGACACCCCAUCGAGAGAUGAAUGUUGCUGAACGCUUGCUUCUCCAGUUAUACCAACUUUAGCAACGACAACAGAUAGCAAUACGAUGCAUUUUCCUGGUCCACAGAUGAUGAAUCCUAAUGUGCUGCUAUGGCUCAAGAACUUGUCUCUAAAUCUUAAGUUUGACCUGUUUUAGACUGUGUCCGAAAUGAAUCACUCAAUCCCUAACCCCUAACCCCCAUAUGGAAUUUCACUAUACAGCUGACUAUGUAGUGAGCUCAAUCGCCGGAGGUUUCGGACACUACAUGGCAUGAUGCAAUGUUUGACGGGAUGCCCACCACCGGUGAGUGACCAUCGUAUGGUCACUACAUUUUGCAAUGCUCUAUGGGAAAUUUUGAGUUGUCUAUAUGGGGCAUUGGAAUUGAUAACUCAGGUUUUGGACACCCCUCAAAAUGGUGCUAACCCCCAUAUAGUCGCCUAUAUAGGGGUUAGGGAUCACUGUCAAACACAGCCUUAAGGUCCUUAAAUGUAGGGACCGUUUUUUUUUUCGUGCUAUUAUUUUGGAAGUCAGUUUUUUUUUCGUGCUUGAUGUGUGUAGUCAAGCGCGUCAAAAUUCGCCUCUGAAUAUUUCAUAAUUUUGCGUCGUAUAUUUGCUUCGUUCCAGGUGUGUAAGGACCUUUACCCAUAAGCUUAUGUUUCCUAUGUUUGAUAACUAUUUUUCAUAGUCCCCUGAGGGUGUUAUUUUUUGUUGCCACUGAUUUAAGACUUCUGUACACAGCCCAGUAUGUACAGGUUUGUCAGAUUUAGUCAUGAAGUUGAAGGUUGUAGAAGAUCUGGAAUUCGUAUUCCUGGUCCCGAGAAGAUGACUCUAGAGUGUGUUGCCAUGGCAAAUACGCCUGUAUGUUCUGUAUAGCUAGAGUGUGAGAAGGUACAUGAAACUGUCUGAAACUUCUCUCUUUCCACGCGCCUCCUGGCCAGAAAUUACACUCUGCACAUUUUUUUUUCCAUAGUUGUAGACACACUUGUUCUGUCUCUAAUGAUGUCUUCAUCUAAGCAAAGAAAAUUACAGACUCGAAACACUGAGUCCCUAAGUGAGGCAAUGUCUCUCUGCUCCUCAGUGAUGCUAAUUCAAAGAUUUUCUGAGGGGAGCAGAUGGCACUCCUGUUUUUAACUUGCAGGUAGAAACACCAAAGACCAAAAUCACAUCGAAGCGAUCAGGAAGUCCUUAAGAUGACGACAGUGUGCUUAUUUUUCUGAUAGGAGCUACCGUUUUAAGGCUAAAACAUACAUGAUAUUAUUUGGAGCGUGGCGGCAGUGUCACACAUCACGCAGCAAAUAGAUUGCCAUUCUAAUCAAUGCAGCAAAGCAUACAGGGCGUGUAUCAACUCAGUCCCAGCAUUGUAUUGAGAGCAGCUCUGCUGAAGAUACGCGGCGAGUCUAUUGUUGCUGCUCUAUGCUUCCAAUGCGCAUCAGUCCACACAGAUACGAUUGUUCCAGACAGGAAGUCAAGCAUGAAAACCGCACAUGUCAUCCAGUAUUUCAAAAUAAAACACAAUAUGCGGACUCCUGACUGUGUAUCAGUUCAUGUAGAUAAGAAAUACAGUACUUCCUGGUUAUGGAUUUAUCAGGAACACAGAACAAUCUGAUGGUCAAUCCCUGAUCCAUGUGGACCCUAACAGGACUAUUAACUGCUAACUCUGUCUGAAGGUAACAGCACAGCAUUAAGGUCCUUACACACCGGGAGCAUUAUUUUUCGUGCGAUUAUUUCGGAUCACAUCGGCAACGUUUUCCCAUCCUGCUAUAUUGUGGCAUUUACUUUUUCGUAUCACGGUCGAUUUUUUGUGUGUCCACUUCUGACCAAUCAGAUUUCACGUCGUUGCGACGUCAGAUUCACCGGUAUAUCCAACAUGGCCGACCGGCUGAUUGUUUACGUGUCAGAGAACAGAUUACUUUUUGAUAAAAACACAAAUAUUACAAAGAUAACGACCUGAAGGACAACUUGUGGAGAGUCAUAGCGUCGGAUUUCUCAUAUGACGAUGGUUUGUGUGCUUUAACAGUUUGCUAAAUGUCUUUGUUUUAACUUUCAUCUGUGCUAAGUAACUUUAGCUCGUAAGCUAACCUGUUCAGAUACAACUUUCACUGUCUCGAACUCAAUCCCGUUGCUGUCACAGCACCAUUAGGUCUUGGUUGUUACCUUACGUUUAUGGAUUAUAGUUUAAUGUGCUUGUCUGGUACUGGCCCCGACUCAGUACAUGCUAUCAUGACAGACAGACAUCUCAACACUAGUGUCUAAUCAGAACUGAAAACAGUCAGUCUGCUGUUGUGUCAGUCUUCUCGUUUCCACCCGGGAUGCGUCUUUUUUCCCCCCAGAAAGUCCCAAAAUCACAUUGCGCUUGAUGUGUAUAAUCAGACGCGUCAAAAUUAGUAAUAUUUUACAAUAUUUCCUAAUUUGGCAUGGUAUAUUUGCGUUGUUCCCGGUGUGUAAGGACCUUACACCUGCAAAAAACGAAGCUGUAAAAUCACAUUGCUUUUUCACACGUAGUAGAGGCUCACCAGUCACCGAAUUAUAUCAAAAUCAGCAGGAGACAGACUGCAGAAAGACAAAACAACCUGUAAUGACCAUGUUUUUUUCUUUAUAGUGAGCCCAGCUGACCAGGGCUGCACUACGCUGCUGCUACGCUCCAAAUACGCAUCCUGUAUGUUUUCGGCUUUAAUGUGAGACCAGCGCCAAACGACGUUUUGACUGCCUCAGCCUGCAAGUUGCCGUAGCAACCUGUCAGCCCCCCGCCAGGCCCACAGCUGAAACCAAUUGACUAAUUAGGGACUGCUUUGACAUCACUACAUCAUUGAAUCACUUUCAGAGCUAUUCGAAUAAAUACUGAAAAGCUGACUCUCAAUCAGUCACAUUGCAUUUGUCCGAUUUUUCUUAAAAGGUCAAUGUUUUUGGUUAAAACUCAGCGUACAUGAAUCCUAUCAAGACUACUUCAAUCCAUUUUUUCCCCCUGUUAUCAGAGCAGUACAAAACUACACAUUUAAAACUCCACACACUAAACUUCAUAUCUGAUACCCUCACAAAAGACUUCCCCAACAUGAAAAAACAAUUCUCCAGUGGAUUGUCAGUUUCUAUCAGGCAGCCAAAUAAAAAGACAGAUUUGAAAAGAGAAAAUCACCGGAGAAGACAAGAAGAGAUCUCAAUUUUGUUAAUACAAAAUACUUAGUUUAUUAGUCUGUAAGGAAUUAACUGGAAUUAGAAACCUUCUUUAAGUUUACAGUUUGCUCGGGGCCCCAUGGACCACAACCACUUUUACAAUUCAUUCAUUAUUGGCAAUGAAAACCUAAUCAUACUGUUGUUCGGAUCUGAACUCAUCCAGAUUGGGAUAUUAAGUUGUAAAAUGGAGAAAAGAAUCCCAUUUUCUCCGCCGCUAAUGCAUCUUUUAACAGUGCUUUGAAAAACCCCCUGUGAGGGUUAUUUGAAUAUCAAUAAGCCAAGAGACUGUGUGUGAUCAAAAAACCUCCAGAGUCAAAAGUUUGCAGCCGAGCGUGGAUGACCCAGACAGAUGGCAGCUCUCAAUCCCUGGACAGUGAAAACGAGACUCAAGGCAAAACUUGAGAGGGAUGAAAUUUGAGCGAGCUUAAGAGGGUUGUGUUUCUCUAUGGGAGAAGGGAGGAGGGGGGAGGGGCACGGGGGCGUGCAGCUCUGUCUGCUGGUGCAGGGGGAUUUAGACAGAUUAAAGACUAGUAUUUAUGGGAGAGGUUUGUACUUUCAGAUGUUUACUUUACAGCAGGGGUCUGGGCUCUGUGGGACCCUGCAAGGUCAACCUACCACGGUAAAAAAAGGAUGCCACACAAGACUCCCAAAAAGUUUUUUUUUUUCCAAUGGCCAGCACAGUGGAAAAGGUAUUAUUUUCCUCAAAGCUGAGAUAAUGGAGCGCAGCAAGACUGGUAAAAAUGCCAUUUUGUACAUAUAAAGCUGGCCUGAAAAUAUGCAGCAGGGUAAACUUCAUAUGAAAACCAGCGGAGCUCUGAAACCAGAAUCAUCGGCUCAAAGAAGAUGAAUACUGUUAUAAAAACUACAUUAAUAUAAAGUAUGCUUUAUUGCAGAACUCAAGCUUUAAAGGAGAGAGCAAUACAUUCUAAUCUAUCAUCAGACAUUAAAGAAACAUGAAAUACUGGCUGCUUUUGGAGAUUAUAUCAGUCAGUAUAUCCUCCUCUGAAGUUUUGAAUUCAAAGUAACAAAAUGAACGACGCAAGUAUACGACGCAAAAUACGAAAUAUUCAGAGGCGAAUUUUGUCGCGCCUGACUAUACACAUCAAGCGCAAUGCGAUUUUGCGACUUUCCAGGGGGGGAAAAAAGACACGUCCCAGGUGGAAGCGAGGAGACUGACACAACAGCAGACUGACUGUUUUUCAGUUCUGAUUAGAUACUAGUGUUGACAUGUCUGUCUGUCAUGAUAGCAUGUACUGAGUCGGGGCCAGUACCAGAUAAGCACAUUAAACUAUAAUCCAUAAACGUAAGGUAACAACCGAGACCUAAUGGUGCUGUGACAGCAACGCGAUUGAGUUUGAGACAGUGAGAAUACAUAUGGUGUGUUGUAUCUGAACAGGUUAGCUUACGAGCUAAAGUUACUUAGCACAGAUGAAAGUUAAAACAAAGACGUUAAAGCACACAAACUAUAGUCAUAUGAGAGAUCUGACGCUAUGACUCUCCACAAGUUGUCCUUCAGGUCGUUAUCUUUGUAAUAUUUGUGUUUUUUAUCAAAAAGCACUCUGUUCUCCAACACGUAAAAAAUCAGCCGGUCGGCCAUGUUGGAUAUACC